CUCUACCGAAUCUCAUGAUUCUAUACUUGGGUGAGAACUAUUUCGAGGGUCACAUUCCAGCUUCCCUAGGAAAUCCUCCAGGUCUACGAGAGAUAGAUCUCUCAACGAAUUAUUUCACCGGCCAAAUCCCAAAUUCUUUGGGAAACCUUUCACUGCUGUCUUCUCUGAACCUUGAUCAAAACAUGCUUCAAUCAACAGACAAUGAAGGUUGGGAAUUCAUCCAUGCCCUGGGAAAGUGUAGAUCUCUAAAAAGACUUUCAUUGUCUAUUAAUAGGCUACAGGGAGCCAUACCAAAUUCUAUUGCAAACCUGUCCAGCACUCUUACAUAUCUGCUAAUGUCUGAAAACAGUCUAUCAGGAACAGUUCCCCCACGUAUUGGAAAAUUUAGUUCCUUAAUUCAACUAUCACUAGAUCAAAACAAUCUUACCGGUACAAUUGAAGAAUGGGUCGGAAAUAUGACAAAACUAGAACGUUUGAAUCUCCAAUCAAACAGCUUUGUCGGGAUAAUUCCACCUUCCAUUGGCCAACUUAUACGGUUGAAAUAUUUAUUUCUUGAUGAAAAUCAAUUCACUGGGUUUAUACCACCUAGCUUUGGAAACCUUAAAUCAUUGUUGCAGCUGCACCUUAGCUACAACAAUUUCAAAGGGGGCGUACCAUAGAGUUUUUGGAAAUCUUAUGAAUCUCAUACAUUUGGACCUUAGUAAUAACAAUCUACAAGGUGGGAUACCCUAGGAGAUUGGUAACCAAAAACAACUUGACAUCCUCCUCCUGUCAUCAAAUAAACGAACUGGAGAAUUUCCAGCUACUUUAGGCCAAUAUCCAGUCUUCACUAACCAUCAAAUGGACCUUGCAUGGAAACACUAAAUCAUUCCCAUAACAACUUGUCAGGUCACAACCCUUUGGCUCUAAGUGAUCUACAGUUUCUUAGUGUGCUAGACCUUUCAUAUAAUCAUCUCGAAGAAGUACCAAGAAAGGGAGUAUUUGAAAAUGCUAUAGCUGUUUAUCUUGACAGCAAUUGUGGACUUUGUGGAGGAGCAAAGGAUCUCCAUAUGCCUUUGUGCCAUAUUGAUUCACCAAGAACAGAGAAUCGGUACUAUUUGGUCAAAGCAUUGAUACCACUGUUUUCCUUCAUGUCAACCCUACUGUUGAUUUACUUCAGAAGAAGGGAUCAAGAAGGGCAUAUUUAUGGCUGCCAACCUUUGGGAAAAAAAUUCCCUAAUGUUUCUUACAGGAGUCUAGCUCAGGACACAGGGAACUUCUCUGAGUCUAACUUGAUUGGAUAUGGAGGCUGCAGUUUAGUCUAUAAAGGGAGGUUAGUCCAAGUUAAAAUGGAGGUGGCUAUCAAGAUUCUUGACACUGAAGAGCAAGAUGCGGAGAAAAGCUUUCUAGUAGAGUGUGAACUUCGGAGAAGUAUUCGCCACCGAAAUAUUCUACCUCUCAUAACCACAUGCUCCACAAUUGACAAUAAAGGCAAUACCUUCAAAGCUCUAAUUUAUGAAUUUAUGCCUAAUGGAAACAUGGACACUUGGCUGCAUUAUCAAGGGGACGGCAGAACUCCAGAAUGUUUAGGCUUAUCUCAAAGAAUAAAUACAGCUAUUAACAUAGCCGAUGCAUUGGCCUACUUACACAAUGACACUGGAAGGCCCAUUGUCCAUUGUGAUUUAAAGCCUAGUAAUAUCCUGCUAGAUGUUCAUAUGAAUGCUUACUUGGGUGAUUUUGGCGUCGCAAGGUUACAUAUUGAUUCUAAGUUGAGAUCAGUUGGCGAUUCAAGCUCAGCCUGUUCAACGAGUGCAAAAGGAACUAUAGGGUAUAUGGCUCUAGGUAGAACUUUAUCCUUCUAGGAUUUUUACAAAUUAUAUUAACAUGAACCAUAUUUUGCAAGUUGUUAUGCACUGAUUAUCACUUUUAUGUCUAUGAUUAGAGUAUGCAGGAGCUGGUAAUACAUCAACUUUUGGAGAUGUUUAUAGUUUUGUAAUAGUACUUCUUGAGAUGCUGACAGGCAAAAGACCAACAGAUCACAUGUUCAGGAAUGACUCACCAUUAUUAGCUUUGUGUGGAAAGGUACUUUCCCAAUCAGAUACUAGAUGUUGUCGAUACUCAUUUGCUAGAAGAAUCCAAGGCGUUCAUCGAAGCAACUGCGGCGACAGAAAAUCUUAAGAUCUUCCUGUGCUUGUUGUCUUUGCUACGAGUAGCACUUAUUUGUACACGCCAAAACCCAAGAGAACGAAUUAACAUGAGAGAAGUAGCAGCCAGAUUAAGUGCAAUCAAGAUGUCAUACGUGGGACUGUGGGAGGAAGAGUUAAGGGCUAAACUUCGUUCAAGAGACUCAUAAGUUGGGCUUCUCACAGGAGUUGAAGGAAGAAAGAAAAUGGUAAAAGUUUAAGCUUCUCGAUACAAUAGGGACUCUGCUUGUAGAACCAAAUUUGAAGAUUUUUGAAUGCUUUAGUGAAUUGAUUGAGUUAUACAAAAACAGCUUCAUUGGUCAAAUUCCUAUUUCUCUUGGCAAGCUCAUUAGCUUGCGCACUCUAUCCCUUGGGAGAAACAACCCUAGCUUGAAGCAAACGACAACCAAAGCUGGGAAUUCUUUGAUGCGUUGAAAAAUUGUAGCCUUCUACAAUAUCUCAUUCUAGGCAACAACCGACUAUAGGGAGUUAGAACACCUUCGGUUGGUAGCCUAACCACCAAUCUUAUAGUAUUACAAUUAAAUUGGAACAACCUUUCGGGAAUAGUUUCGCCAAGAAUACGAAACCUUUCCGGUUUAAUUCAACUAGGAUUAAGCUACAACAAUUUUACUGAACAAAUGAAUAAUGGAUUGGAGGAACUCUUAAACAUAUCUAGCUAUAUCCAUUGGAACAACUUUGAUGGGCCAAUUAUUCUCUACGACGUAUUACUCAGUUAGAAAGACUCUUACUACCAGAAAGUGAAUUUGAUGGUUCAAUACCACGUAUAGCUUAGGAGACCCUCAACAACUUUCCUGGUUGGGCCUUAGUAAUAACAAUCUUCAAGGAAACAUACCUCCCCAGCUUGGCAGCCUUAAAAAACUCACUGAUCUUCAUCUUCAAUCAAGCAAACCCACUAGGCCCCAUAGACUGCCAAGUGAGCUUCUGUCCCGUGAUCUUUUUUCCAGAAACUCCUUUAUGUCUGUGUUCUGUUGGUUAUCAGACUGCUUUGCUGAUGUUGCUUCUCCAUACAAAUCAUAUAUUCAUAUCCAAGAGGAAAUAUCAAAAAUGGAGUAUUUGCAUAUGCGACAGCGCUGUUUCACUAGAUAGCUAUUUAGGACUCUGUGGAGGAGUUACUAAUCAUCUGAAUAUGCUCUCAUGUCCAGCGGUUUCCCAGAGAAUACAAAGCCGAUAUUUUUCUAAUAAGAGUACUGAUCCAAGUAUUUGGCUUCAUGUCAAUUAUGUUGUUGAUCUGUACAUUGACGGACAAGAAGGUUCCAAGUAAAAUAUAUUUAUUGUUGCAGCAUUCAUUUGGCAAGUAGUUCCUACAAAGAUCUAGCUCAAGAGACAGCAAACUUUUUUCUGGAUCGAACCUACUUAGGAGAGGAAGCUAUGGCUCUGCGAUUGCUAUCUCUAGUGCAGAUCGCUCUUUCUUGCACUCGUGUAUUCCCAAGAGAAACAAUAUUGAACAUGAGAGAAGUUGCCAGUAAGUUGCAAUCAAUCAGAAUGACAUACGUGGGAUCGACCAAGAGAAAACAAGUCCUGAUUCAUAUUUAGUAGAGUAUUUUACAAUGUGACAGGAAUAUUCUGUAGGCAGUUUAGGUUCUCUUUGAAUGCAAUGGGCACAAAGUUGGUAAUUCAGCCUAUGAUUUCGCAUGUUAAAAAAGAACAAGAUACCCUGCUACUGCUAAGCUGCAGCCUGUUGGUGGUGAAUGAUGAACAGUGUCCAAUACCAUCAUAUUAAGAUUUGGCUUUUGAGCAUUUGGAAAAUUGGAUUUGAUAAAGUAUCAGUAAGUUGACAAAGUAUUCAGAUCGCUUCUAUGGUAGCGUGUGACUGUAACACUGAGUGGUGUUUUAAACCGACGUUACAUGGAUACGUCAGGGAGGUGCCGUAUCCUGUAUUGUAUACGUAUCCAUAUCGGAUACGGCCAGGAUACGUGAUGGAUAAAUAUAGUAAAUGUUGAUACGUGGGCCCACACGUAUCGGGCUGAUUUUGCGAUACGGCCUAGUCCAAAUCCACCUCUUAUCCACACACCUGCUACCUACUCGCUACAGCCCCCACCCCGACAUCCUCACGCAUUGCGCUGCCGGCCCCUCGCUCCCCCGCACGGUGGUCACAUGAGCGCCUCCACCUGCUGGAGGGGGCACCAGGCCGGCGUCCGCCAGAGAAGGACCUCUGCCAGGGGACGCUCCGUAGCUCUGAUUUGCCUGCGAAGAAGCUCUGCAGCUCUGACAACCAAGCUCACGACGGAACUAAUUGCCAAGGCGGCGACAUUCUGUGAGUUUCUUCCUCAUCAGCUUGUUUGGUGGCUCUUCCCUUUCUCGAUCUACAUUUGUUCUUCGGUUCUUGAUAUUUUGCUGCUCAAUUUUCCGAUUCCCUUCCUCAUCCUAAUCUUUCGCCAACAGAUAGCAGCACCAAAUUCGAGCGUGCUAGUUCUACUUUUUCUUUGCCUACCGGCUAACGCUCCUCUUUCAAGCAAUAACGAUAAGAAGAACAAGAGUGGAUCCGACCUGCUUCACCAAUUGACAAAUUUUUAGCAUUGCACCUGGUUAUUGUUGUAAAAUUUGUUAUGCAUUAUUUUUAUAUAUUAAAAAAUUGACUAAAUGUAUCGGCGUAUCGUAUUGUUUGGAAAAAUCACGUAUUUGCGUAUCUGUAUCCGUCCGAUACUUUAUGAUAAAUGGAACGACGCAGCUAAUCGACCGCAAGUCCGCAAUCUAGCUAACAACCGCUCGGAUCCCUAAUCCGAACCUCAAACUACAGUCACUCAAAAAGUUAAGGUCGACGAGAUGCUGUGCAUACCGUUAGUGCGGCCGCUGGUCAGCCGCCUGCUUCGCCGUCCGCCGCUGCCCGCAACUGCGACUGCUCCACGCUCUGUCCCAGACGACGCGCGCCGCCUGCGCUCGCGUAGUGGCCGAUUUCUUCCGCAACGGCGCGGUGCCGCCGCGGUGGGACCGUGGGAACCGCUUCGUCGCUUUGUGACCGGUGAGAUUUUGCCAGUCUGUAGCCGUCGUUGGGCAAGAAGGCCGACGAGGCUUUGUUGGCUGGGCCGUUUUUGUUUUUGGGCCAUGGCACGAUGACCCAGUCCGCUCUUCUUUGGAUCUGUUCAUGUCGUGCACACAACAGGUGGCGAAUCAGUUCCAACCUUUUUGUUAGCCUCUUGCUUGCCUCAAGAUUUCCAGGAAUUAAUUCUGGCCCUGGGAUAUAGUAGAAAAUUGGUGCUUAAUGGUGACGAAAUUUCCAGGAAUUAAGGGAGCUCCUGCUCUCAAUCUCCAAGUUCAAUCACUCGAAACAAACAAGCCAUAGAACAUGCAAGGUUAUUCAGCUUCUGCACAUUACCAUAUACGUACUUAUGAACAAUGUUAUCUGAAUACAACAACGUCAGGAGUGCAACUUCUUGUUAAGUCAAAUAAUAACAUUGAUUACUUCACCACAUGCUAAUGUAGCUUCCAAAACAUCGACAAAAAAAUAGUUAAACAUAGCGCAAUACAAUUGUACUGUAGACACAGCUACAGUCGCAAUACAACAAUGUUUAGUUUGGCUUGCACAGAAUUUUUUUCUUGGACGAACGGGCACACAAAACUGUGCACUAUUUCUAUUAAUAUAGAAGGAGUAACAAACGGGCAGCCAUGGAAGGCUCCCUCUCCCUACAUGCUAAAAAAAUGUACAAGUGUAAAAGACUAAAACUGAACAGAAAAUUUGGAUCUAUACACUUCUAGGAUGGUUUAAAUUCACAAAGUUCUUUCUUCAAAGAAUUUAUCCAGAUGCACAACCUUUAACGGACUAGCACAAUAAAACACGAGGUUGUAUAUUUCCUUAAGACAUGAAAGAACGUGGUGUCAUGAAAGAAUUUGCAUCCUCAAACAGAACAAAUGAUGCAUGGAUGUAACUCAUCCUCAGAUCUAGUGUCGCUCAAAUUGAUUGGGGAGGUGGUGACUACGCUUUCGGGCUGCGGCUAACCCUGCUACCCCAUUGGACGAUGCGCUGGCUCCAGAAUGCAAACCAUUAUUGGUGAUACAGUGGUUUCCGUGUGAGCUUUUUUUUUCGGAGCCCUUAUGAACAUGUAGGUGAGGGAAUCAAAGGACGUAGCACAUAGGGGUCGCUCAUGGUUUUGGCGUCGUGUCCGGCGGCCAAAUACAUUCCGUUGCGUGACCACCCUGCGCGAGACGACACUGCACAAGCGGACGCGGCGGCCUCAUGACUCAUGCGUGCAAUGAUCGUUGCACCUCGUUCCCUUGCCGUCGGGAUGCGUGUGAUGAUCGUGACUACGGUUUCUCGCAUACUUCCUCCGUUUCAAAAUGUAGAUUUUUAAUUUUUUUAAGUACAUAGAUUUUACUAUAUAUCUAGACAUUACCGUAUAUUUAAGUGCACAGUAAAAUUUAUGAAAUUAGAAAAAAUCAAAACGAUCUACAUUUUGGAACGGAGGGAGUGGAGAUAGAUGCUGCUAUGCUGCCGCAUGUGCGACGAAGCUAGCUUAUGUACACAGUUUACCCUGUAGCAUAGAUCUCUGGUCAGUAGAUAGAUGUUUUGUUCACGAUUCCCUUAAUUACUGCAAGUGGUGCACAAAUUACGACUAGCGCCCAUAAACCUUCAACAAGAUGCAAGCUGUAUCCGGCAUACCAGGGUGGAGAAUGGCCCUUAUACAGUCGUACUGCUGUACAACCACUGAUUUCACAAUUCAGGACUCACGUCCUAUACUCCAAGUGCCUGAUUUUUUCCUUACCUUUUACUUUUAUUCCAGUCGCCAGCAAGUUAACGGCAGCGGCUCUCUGGUGGAACUUGCCGGGUGGUGGCAAGCCUGGCUGUGAGGGCAGGACCGCAGGAAGGCAGGGCUAGGGAUGCGGGGCGGGUUUUUUUGGCCGCGAACCUGCUGGGUGAGCCCGUACCGUGAAUCCACGUAACCCGCGUAAUUGCAGCGGUCCAAGCGGGCAUGCCCGCCGUACUCAACGGCGCCGCAAGCGUCAUUCAUACGAGCGUGAAAAUUCUUAUCUUCUCCUAAUAGUACAACAGGCCGUCCCUAGUCACUGCUUUGACUUUUUAUCAACCAGCGGCUGGUAUGUUGCUUAUAUAUGGAGCCACGGCAACUUAUGUAACUAGAUUUUGUGUUUGUUGAAGAUUUUUUUACCUCACGAUCUUGUAAUAAGUGUGCACAUGAAUUAGCUCGAUCUAGUUUGAGUUGGGACUCGGAUCAGUCAUGUGUUUGGCUUAAUCCCCUACCGGAAUUUGUAAAGUUAUUAGCAGUUCAUAAUUUUCCUGAACCACAGACAAAACGAUUUGUAGUGAUGCCCAUUGUUUAGCGACGGGCGAAAUUACCACCUGCACCUACAAAACGUGGGGAGGAGGAUUACUGUAGCAUCCGCACCGCCCCUGGAGAAACAUUUGCAGGGACGGGUCACGAGGACCCGCCCCUAGAAAUGGGCACUAUUUCCAAGGGUGGGUGAUGCCGAUACGUCGCCAAGAAUUUUUUACAACAAAAAGAAAAAUAAUUUGCAGGGAUGGGUGAUGGCGUCAUCCGUCCCUAAAAAUCUUUUCUAGGAGUAGGUGAUGGUGUCACCCGCCCCUUUCCCAGGGCAGGUGACUGCUAAUGCCUCCUAUAUAAGGCAGUCCGCACCGGGGACUUAGCCAAAAAUUCACAGAAGCGCGCGGGACGUCGUUAGGCUGCCGAAUUUUCACUUCCCUCCCCCGAUCUGCCGCCCCCUCCCCCAUGGGCUCCACCACCGCAGUGCCUCCCCUUCCCCCCGGGCCACCGCGCCACGCCUCCUCCCCUCCCUCACGGCGCCUUCCUGUCGCGGCGCCUCCCCUCCCCGCUGCCUCCACCGCUGGGCCAUAGCGCUGAGCCUCCUCCCCUCCUCCCGUGGUGCCUUCCCAUUGCGGUGCCUCCUCUCCCCGCGUCUCCCCUCCUGUGCCGCCUCCACCACCAUGCCUCCCUUUCCACGGGCUACCGCCAUAGCGCCUCCCUCCCCCGCGCGCCUCCCUUCCCCGCGGUGCCUCCGUCCACGACCGUCAGUUUCUUAAUUUUAUUUUAUUUUCUUUUUAUUUUUUUAUUUUGAUUUUAUUUUAACUAUGAGCCGUACUCUCUCCGUCCCAAAUUACAAGUUAUUUUGGCCUUUUUAGAUUCAUAGACUUUGUUAUGCACUAAGAUAUACACUAUAUCUAGAUGCAUAAUAAUAUCUAUGCAUCUAGAAAAGCCAAAACGACCUAUAAUUUGGGAUGGAGGAAGUAGUACUUAGUGUAAAACAACAAUUACAAAUUUCUUCCAUUAUCUUAGACAAUCUUUUAUCCUUAGCAUUUCGUGAAUUAUGAUGUUUUACGGCGCAAUUAUUAUUAAAGUUGAUGUUUGUGGAAUAAUCUAUCUUAUUACAAUUUUAUUUGGAUAGUUUGUGCUAAGUAUGGCAAAUAGACAUUCUUUUCGCCACGGUGGUGGCGGUCGUGGAAGUGGCAGGGAACACUACAUUUUCGAGGAGCCACCGUUGGUUCGUCCUCCGGGAAUUCACUUCCCUAAUCGCGUCAUUGACUUGCCUACCGACGAUCGAAGUAAAGGAGCAAUUUCCAAUAUAGUAAUUCCUAAUUUUAUUACACAUGCAUAUAGUUCCCAAUAUAGUAAUAUUAUUUCCUUCUUGUAAUUGGUUGUUUUAUUACACAUUAAUAAUUUCUUUUUACUUACAUACAAUAUAGCUUAUGGACCCUAUUAGAUGGCUCAAAGAUGUUGUCGAAGCUCUAGAUGGUACCACUCCUUUAGUGUAAUCCGAGGUUGGUGGUGCAAGUAAUUUUAUAAGACUAAAGAUCUCUUUUGAAGUACCUGUUCGAGGAGGAUAGGCCAACUUGAUGCGACGACCAGGAUAGGCUAUUCCGAUGGUAUCAAUUGUCGCAUGAGGUAAAGAAGCAGCUUGACUUUUGAAAAGCCCGUCGUAAAGGCAUGCCUACAACAACUGGAUAAUGGGUACUUUAUGCCAGGCUUCUUAUAUUUUCGAAUAAAGACGCUCGAGGAGAGAGAAAGCAAUGUGACUAUGACUACUGUGAGGUUUUAUCAGCUGAAUCAACAUGACAUGGUAUGUAAUAUAUCUAUUCAUUCUUACAUCUUUAGUUAUGUUACAUCUCUCAACUUUCAUCACAUUAUUUUUAUUUUUAGGAUAUCUUUGGUCAAAUAUUUGCGGCAAUGAGAUUUCAUACGAUUCUAGCUCAAGUCUUAGAUGUGUUGAAUUAUAGUUACAUCGAUGGAAACUUGAUACGCACUAGAGAUUUUAAGCUCCAGGCUCAUCUCACUUUCUACAGGCCAUAUGAUUUUACCUCUCCAUUGUUCGAGAUUUAUGGUAGUGUAUGUGAUCAUCCAUACGAAGCGAUAGAGAGUGCACUAAUUCAUGCUCUAGUUUAUAUUGAUGAAGUUCUAGGCUUUAAGAUUAGAGACUUAAACUAUAUUUCAUAUCUAUGAAGCGAAGCUAAGUAUGAAAUAUGUAGCAUGCAUGGAUGCUCUACCCUUUUCUUAUGAAUUUGAACUUGUUCUGUCUAAGACCAAAGUAUUUAUGCAUGAACUUGCAUUAUGAGACUGGUUAUAUAUAUUCUGUUGCAUAUACAAUGUUCUGUGAGUGUUGGAUCUGAAUGGGUUGAUACAUGGGAGAAUCACAUUUUAAAAAUUUGGCGCAAAAAUAGUACAAAAUUUUGGCGGGAACGACAUUUCCAGCGGCGGGUGAUACCAUCACCCGCCUAGUUUGUAAGGGCGGUUCAUGACAUCACCCGCCCUUGAAAAUGUCUUUACAGGGUGGAUCUAUUACACGCUCUUGCAAACAGCUACUUUUAACUGCGAAAAGCAGGAACGGAUAGCAUGCCCGCCUUUACAAAUGCUAUUUCAACCAUCCUUGGAAACCGUUUUUUAUAGUGAUAAAUAAAAAAAUAUUUUUUAAAAAAAGUACAAUAGGCCGUCCUAACCCUACGAGCGUCAUGCGUACGAGCGUGAAGCGUCCCUGCCCUCCAAACCCAGUAGCAAUCACUGUGGCUCCUGAGUGCUGCCCCAAGCUUGAAGCUUCGUAUCCGAAAGUUCUCCUUUGGCCGCACUUGGCAUUGUCCUGCGACCCUGUCUCCCAGUCUGGCAGACCGCCACUGCCUGGCUCGAGCACGGUACCACCAUUCAAGUGAAGCAUUAGUGGUCUCCGUUUCAGCCAUUCUCGAGACCAUCCGAACAGUUAAAUUAGGUCAGGCAUAAGAGGAUAUCAAACGCCUUCCUGGAUCGCUGGGCUUCGUGCCGAAGCCAGCUAGCUACACACCUUUGGCAUCGUCGGGGGCUCAUCCCUGCACAAGAUAGUCGUGCCGUUCGAUCACCAUCCCACGUUGGCAGCCUGGCAGGACGCCCGUGAGGCGAUGAGUCGUUACGCGAGCUUAGACAGGUUAAGUAACUAUAGUAACCUUCUACUGCUUUAACUAACUGAUAAUCACUUCGAAGGAAGAAUACCAGAUUCUAUUCACUAGUAGAGAAUUGGCUUUCGAUCCGCCCCCUUUUGUCCCGGUUUAAAGUUGGCCCGGGACAAAAGGGGGUGCGCCACGGUAGGUAAAAUUGGAGGGGAGAUUUACUCCCGGUUGGUAAUUGCAACCGGGACUAAAGGCCCCACUUUAGUCCCAGUUGCAACGGCUAGCUGGGGGGCGUCGGUGGCGGGACCCUUUUAUCUCAGUUGGAGGAUCCAACCGGGAUAAAAGGUGAACCCUUUUAUCCCGGUUGGAGGCACCAACCGGGAUAAAAAGUUUAGUCCCGGUUGGUGCCUCCAACCGUUGGAGCCUCCAACCGGGACUAAACUUCCAACCAGGACAAAAGGUGUUCCUUUUUGUCUCGGUUGGAGUUUUUAACCGAGAUAAAAACUCAUCCCCAUUAUAUACGGCCAAGACAGAGGACUUUCUUCCUCCUCCAGCCCGAGCCAGUCCAGCACAUUGACAGAGAGAGCUGAGCUUCACCUACUCUCCAGUGGUGCCGAAGCAAGCAAGGAAGGUGCUGCCCGAAGUUUUUUCCCUCAUUUUCGUGGGAAUUUCACUUGGCCAACACAAGUGUUGCGAAGGUUUGCUACUUCAUCCUCGUGUUAUGCUUUGAUUUAUGCUUUGGAGAUGGAAAGAUUAUUUGCUAGAAUGUGAUGAUGAAGUAGAAAAAUGGAGAGGUAUUUUGAGCUAGAAUGUGAGGGAGAUUGAUGUGUCAUAUAUAGUAUGCAUUAUUGCAAUGGUUUAAAAAUGAUGCUACCUUGUCUAGACGGUUUAUCUUAUCAAAUUCAAUAUAGUUUUUUAAAUCCAUACUUGUUGAACUUGCAUACCAUGUUCAUUUCUGCUACGAUGUUCUCCGCCGAGCAGCAACGUAUGUCAAGAAGGAGGUUCGAUUCUACAAGAAAGAGUGGAUACGGACAUCGUGACCGUGUCCCCUUUUCCGUAGCAUCUAACCUCUUUCAUGACGAAGUGCGGUGCUGCCCAGCUGAGGACAUCCUCGCGAAAUGAUCACGGUCUUCAAGUUCAACAACUUCUGUAGUGGUAAGGAAAGAAUUUUUGUACAUAGAUGACUUCUGCUACUUGUUGAACUUGCAUACCGUGUUCAUCUCUCCGAGGAUGUUUUCCGCCGAGCAGCAACGUAUGUCAAGAAGGAGGUUCGAUUCUACGAGAAAGAGUGGAUACGGACAUCGUGACCGUGUCCCCUUUUCCGUAGCAUCUAACCUCUUUCAUGACGAUGUUGGGAUACGAGGUAGGCUACACUAGCGUAAAUCAAAAUUUCUACCGCGUAUAACCAGGAAGAACUGCCGUAUAAGGAUCACGGGAUUACCACUCGACGCACUACUGGUGCGGAAGAUGUAGAUAUGCGUCGAUGCAGUGAAGACGAUCACGUAGUCGUACGUAGUCGAUCAACGUAGUCGUACGUAGUCGAUCACGUCACGUCCAGCAGCUCCCACGUGCAGCAAGAUCGCCUCCGGUGCCGCGGCUCAUCGUGGCUCGUCGAUGGCUCGUCCAAGUGCUGCAGGCGCAACACCUCCAAGGUAUCCACACGUGCAGGGAGGAAGCGUCGCAAGCUGGACUGCUAGAUCCGCGAGUUGCAACAGGCGAGGGCGUGGGAGGCGCGGCAGAUGUGUUUCGCCAAAAGGUGUAAACCCUAGGGCGCCCCCACCCCUCUAUUUAUAGAGGUUCCUGACGGGCCUCUGGAUCCGAGGCCCAUUAGUACUUCUAAAACUAAUCCAACUCGGAUCUGAUCCGAAUUGGGCUUCCAGCCCCUUAAGUGUGUGACCCUAUGGGUUCGGAUACGUAUAGACAUGGCCCGAGUACUCCUACUCGGCCCAAUAGUCGGUAGCGGCCUCUAGCAAGACGUGCCAACUCCUACACGCACACGAAGAUCAUAUCAGACGAACCAUCACAACAUAAUAUACAUGCUAUUCCCUUUGCCUCACGAUAUUUGGUCUAGCUUCAAGCCGACCGCUCUUUCUCGAUCCUGUGAUUCGGAAUCCCUUUGUAGGUUAACUCUUAACCGUACGUAGCAUGGCCAUGCAUUUUCGGAUCCGAUCACUCGAGGGCCCCAGAGAUAUCACUCUCAAUCAGAGAGGGGCAAAUCCUAUCUUGACUGACCAUGUCUCAUAGCAUGCUUCUUGACAAACCCGAAAGCUACCUUUAUAACUACCCUGUUACGGCGUAGCAUUUGAUAGCCCCUAAGUAGGUCGAUCCACAUCUAGAAUACAUGCGACAGUCUCAGGUCUAAGGACAAAGCGUAUAUGUUGUUUAAAGAGAGAACUACUUCUCGUGUUGGGUCAGUCCUAGCACAUGUCUCCACAUGUGUCCACAUUAUCAGUUCAACAUCUCCAUGUCCAUGACUUGUGAAACAUAGUCAUCAACUAAUACAUGUGCUAGUCUAAUAUUCAUGUGUGUCCUCACAUGAACUCCGACUAGGGACAACUUUAGAAUAACCAUACAAGUAAAGAGUUUCACAUACAAUUCACAUAAUUGCAAAUCAAUUCAAGUAGCCUUUAAUGGAUAUUCAAUGAACACAAUAUACAAAUCAUGGAUACAAAUGGAAUAUCAUCAUCUCUAUGAUUGCCUCUAGGGCAUACCUCCAACAGUCUCCCACUUGCACUAGAGUCAAUCUAGAAGGUACCUAAUACCCAUAGCUCUUACAUGCGCAUCAUGCUUAGCCUGCGGGAGUGGUUUUGUCAAUGGAUCAGAAAUGUUCAGAUCCGUGUGUAUUUUGCAUAUCUUGAUCUCACCCCGGUUAACGAAGUCUCGAAUGAGAUGAAAUCGCCGCAUUACGUGUUUGUUCUUCUGGUGGUUCCUUGGCUCCUUUGCUUGCGCAAUUGCCCUAUUAUUAUCACAGUAGAGAUUCAAUGGGCUGGACGCAUUCGGGAACACACCAAGCUCAAUGAGGAAAUUCCUUAUCCAAACACCUUCCUUCGCGGCUUCCAAAGCCGCGAUGUACUCGGCUUCUGUCGUAGAAUCGGCCACCGUCUCCUGCUUGGAACUCUUCCAACUAACAGCACCACCAUUUAGCGUGAACACAAAUCCUGAUUGUGACUUUGAAUCAUCUCUGUCGGUUUGGAAACUAGCAUCGGUGUAACCUGUUACAACGAGCUCCUCCUGACCUCCAUAGACGAGGAACAUAUCUUUAGUCCUUCUCAAGUACUUAAGAAUGUUUUUCACCGCUGUCCAGUGACUCUCACCUGGAUCAGAUUGGUGUCUGCUUGUCAUACUUAGCGCAUAUGAAACAUCUGGGCGAGUACUUAUCAUUGCAUACAUGAUAGAUCCAAUAGCCGAGGCAUAUGGCACUCUACUCAUGCUAUCCCGCUCAUCAGCAGUCGAAGGACACUGAGUCUUGCUGAGAUGUAUGCCAUGUGACAUAGGCAAGAACCCUUUCUUUGCCUCUUCCAUGCUGAACCGCUUCAACACUUUGUCAAUAUAAGUAUCUUGGCUCAAACCUAUAAGCCUUCUCGAUCUAUCUCUAUAGAUCUUAAUGCCCAGAAUAUAUGCCGCUUCCCCUAAGUCCUUCAUCGAAAAACUAUUUUUCAGUGAAGUCUUUACGGACUCAAGCAUAGGAAUGUUAUUUCCAAUCAGUAAUAUGUCAUCCACAUAUAAGAUUAGAAAUACUACAGAGCUCCCACUAACCUUCUUGUAAACACAAGACUCUUCUUCGUUCUUGGUGAAGUCAAACCCUUUGACCACUUCAUCAAAACGAAUGUUCCAACUCCUAGAUGCUUACUUCAAUCCAUAAAUGGAUCUCUGAAGCUUGCAUACCUUUCCAGCAUUUUUCGGAUCGAUAAAACCCUCGGGCUGUAUCAUAUACACGUCCUCAGCUAGGUUUCCAUUCAGGAAAGCUGUCUUGACAUCCAUCUGCCAUAUCUCAUAAUCGAAAUAUGCAGCUAUAGCUAGAAUAAUCCAAAUGGACUUAAGCAUCACUACGGGCGAGAAGGUCUCGUCGUAGUCAACUCCUUGAACUUGUCAAAAACCUUUUGCGACAAGUCGUGCUUUAUAGAUGUGAACAUUUCCAUCCAUGUCCUUUUUCUUCUUAUAGAUCCACUUGCACUCUAUGGCUUUAACACCAUCAGGUGGGUCAACCAAGUUCCAAACUUGAUUGUCUCCCAUGGACUCUAUUUCGGAUUGCAUGGCACUCUGCCAUUUUUCGGAGUCUGGGUCCAUCAUUGCUUCUGCAUAUGUCGCAGGCUCAUCAUUGUCCAACAAUAAUAUUUCCCGCAUUUCGCGGAGCCUUGCCGACCUUCAUGGUUGUGGCGGUGCUUCUCUUGCCAUGGGUAUCUCAACUUGUUCUGCUACGUCAGCAUCACUCAUUGGUUCUUGCCCGAUUGGCUCAUCUUGAACUUCUUCAAGAUGCACUGUCUUUCCACUCUUUUCUCCUUUGAGAAACUCUUUCUCUAGGAAAACCCUGUUCCGAGCGACAAACACUUUGCCUUCUGAUCGGUUGUAGAAAUAAUAUCCCAAAGUUUCCUUUGGAUAUCCCACGAAAAUGCACUUAUCCGACUUGGGUGUGAUCUUGUCCGACUGAAGUCGCUUGACAAACACUUCACAUCCCCAAAUCUUUAGAAAAGACAAACUAGGAACCUUUCCAGUCCAUAUCUCAUAUGGUGUCUUAACUACGGAUUUAGAUGGUACCCUAUUAAGUGUGAAAGCUGCUGUUUCUAGAGCGUAUCCCCAAAAUGACAAUGGUAGGUCCGAAUGGCUCAUCAUUGAUCGAACCAUGUCUAACAAAGUUCGAUUACGUCGCUCGGACACACCGUUUCUCUGAGGUGUUCCAGGCGGCGUAAGUUGUGGAACAAUUCCGCAACUCUUUAGAUGAUUGCUAAACUCGUGGCUCAAAUACUCGCCUCCACGAUCAGAUUGUAAGGCCUUAAUUUUCUUGCCACGCUGAUUUUCAACUUCAUUCUGAAAUUCCUUGAACUUUUCAAAGGUUUCAGACUUGUGCCUCAUCAAGUAGACAUAGCCAUAUCUACUAAAAUCAUCAGUGAAAGUUAUGAAGUAUUGGAAUCCUCCUCUAGCCGUCAUGCUCAUUGGUCCGCAUACAUCACUAUGUACGAGUUCCAACAAGUCUACUGCUCUCUCAGGAAAUCCUGUGAAAGGCGUCUUGGUCAUCUUGCCUAGCAAGCAAGCCUCACAUGUCUCGUAUGAUUCAAAAUCAAACGAAGUUAGAAGUCCAUCAGAAUGGAGCUUCUUCAUGCGCUUUUCACUUAUAUGACCCAAACGACAAUGCCACAAGUAGGUAGGACUCAAAUCAUUAGGCCGAGGCCUUUUAGCACUUACAUUACAGACAGGUGAACCAUCAAGAUUUAAAACAAAUAAUCCAUUCACAAUGGGUGCAAAAGCCAUAAACAUAUUAUUCUUAGAGAUCACACAACCAUUGUUUUCACUCGCAAAUGAAUAACCAUCCUUCAUCAAACAUGAAGGAGACAAAAUGUUUCGACUUAAACUAGGAACAAAAUAACAAUUAUUCAACUCCAUAAUAAAUCCUGACGGGAGGUGGAGUUGCAUCGUCCCGACGGUCAACGCAGCAACUCUUGCAUUAUUGCCCACGCGGAAAUCAACUUCUCCUCUUUCCACGCUUCUACUUCUUAUCAUUCCCUGCAUUGAAUUGCAAAUAUGAGCAACCGAUCCGGUAUCAAAUACCCAAGAAUUAAUAACUGUAUCAGUGAGAAAUAUGUUGUCUAUAACAUUAACAACAAGCGUACCUGAGGUAGAAGUACUCUUACUUCCGCCGUUCUUCAACGAAGCUAGGUACUGCUUGCAGUUUCUCUUCCAGUGACCAAGUUCAUGACAGUAAAAGCACUCUUUAUCUGGAGCAGGUCCAGCUUUAGCCUUGGGCGCUGGGUUUGGCUUGGACACUCCAGCCUUGCCCUUCUUCUUCCAAGAAUUGCCCUUCUUCUUAAAGGUAGGCUUGUUCUGUACAGCCAUCACAUGGCUGGUACUAGCGCUUUUCUUAAUGUCUACCUAUGCUGUCUUGAGCAUACCACACAGUUCAUUCAGACCCUUCUCCGUCCCAUGCAUAUGGUAGUUCGAGAUGAAGUUCCCAUAGCUAGGCGGAAGAGAUGAAAGAAUGAAGUCAGUGGCCAAAUCUUUGCCCAUUGGGAAGCCCAGCUUCUCCAAUCGCUGAGUGUAACCAACCAUCUUGAUUACAUGUGGUCCUACUGCUGCGCCUUCUGCUAACUUGCACUCCAGAAAGGCUUUGGACACAUUGAACCUUUCGGUCCUAGCCUGUGUCUGGAACAUGUCCUUGAGCGCCAUGAUCAUAUCGUGUGCCUCAUGAUUUGUUUCGAACUGCAUCUGCAGCUCGGGUUCCAUGCAAGCAAGCAUAAGGCAGCUUACCUCAAGAUUAGCAUCAAAUGCCUUCUUGUAAGCAGCCUUAACGGCAGCAGAUGCAUCAUCAGCAGAUACUGGUGGUAGUGGGGUGUCUAGAACAUCUUCCUUUUUCUCAGCCCUGAGAACAAUUCUUAGGUUAUGGAUCCAAUCCGAGUAGUUUGUUCCAUUCAACUUGUCCUUCUCAAGGACCGAACGCAAAGCAAACGAUGCGGUGGUGUUGCUAGGUGCCAUUUAAUCUACAACAAAAGUAAUGCAAAAUACACUAAGACAAACGUAUCCAUGAUAGAGCAAAUUACAUUAAACUAUUUUAACAGAAUCUACUCCCACUAAAAUCAAUAUCGCUCUAUUGAAACUUAGUGAUUCAGGAUCCACAACUAACAAGUCUACUAGUGAGCUUUAGCAUCACCGCUAGCAAACGAGGUAGAUCGGUAAGCAACUUUUGCUAAUCAUAUCACAUAUGACUCCUGUUGUUGGGUGACAUCUCUAUGUCUCGGCACCCAACCUUUAUGCCCCAAGGUCCUUAACCAUUAAGAUAACCUUGUUAAGCAAACCAACCCUUAUGCGUGUAAGUGUCCGACACAAACCCGUCUAGUCAAGGAAAACUAGUGGCACCCUAAUUUCAUAGACCCACCACUAAUUGUACAAGACAUGGGACGGUGCAAGUUUUAGUUGGGAGGGCAUACUAACUUAAACUUUGUGAGGGAUCGUUCUACUUCUAACAUCACAGCAUGCAGAAAGUAAAACAUAAACAGAAUAGCAUUCACACAGUUGUGACACAGUAUGGCCCGUUUCCAUAUGGUGAUCUCCAUCUCCAUGUUCCAUGUGCGCCAUCCUCCUGGUGAAGAUUCCUCCAAGAACUAGAGCAUGCUAUUACGCCUAAUAGCUAGUAAAGAAUCUAGUAAUGAAGAUUACAUAGUUGCUUGGAUCAUCACAGAUUGGUACGCAGACCAUUAAAUACAUUAAGGUGACAACACAUAUGGCUCAUGCCGUGUUGCCGUAUGCGCGACACGCAGGUCACGAAUGAGUUACACACAUGCAUCACAUACACAAGGGGGCCAUACUGAUCACAAGAUACAUACAUACAUCCUGCAAAACAGAGUUAGACGCCCUAACGUUCCAAACUUCGGAUGCCCGAAACUCCAUCUUCCAAGCCGAAUUUGGGAAAUCUAAUUUCACCAAAAACGACAAAGCGUUGAAUUUCAUGUGUAACUUUUUCUGUAGAUCAAUUUUCGUAUAAAAAUCGCCCCGAUCCGAGAUCGUACCGAAAAGUUACGGCUGAUUUACCGAAGCAUACGCAUACGGCAAAAUCCCAACCUCGGCAGUAGAUCCCAUCUACUAUUGCACAUCUAAUGCGCCUGGCGUAUGACCCUGGAUCUCGAUUCGACCAAUCAUAUUGAUCUUCGCUCACUGCAACUGGAUUUACGUGUAUCACUUAACUCCGAUGGCGGAAACCGACCGGUAGGAGUAUGUCGUUACACUACCAUUGUAGCAAGGGCACGAAACCAGGACAUAGAUCAAACAGAAAACUCGCAUAUCUCCAUAUGCACACAUCCCGAAUCCAAAACUAAGCAGCUACGGCUCUUGAUACCACUGUUGGGAUACAAGGUAGGCUACACUAGCGUAAAUCAAAAUUUCUACCACGUAUAACCAGGAAGAACUGCCGUAUAAGGAUCACGGGAUUACCACUCGACGCACUACUGGUGCGGAAGAUGUAGAUAUGCGUCGAUGCAGUGAAGACGAUCACGUAGUCGUACGUAGUGGAUCAACGUAGUCGAUCACGUCACGUCCAGCAGCUCCCACGUGCAGCAAGAUCGCCUCCGGUGCCGCGGCUCGUCGUCGGCUCGUCAUGGCUCGUCGAUGGCUCAUCCAAGUGCUGCAGGCGCAACACCUCCAAGGUAUCCACACGUGCAGGGAGGAAGCGUCGCAAGUCGGACUGCUAGAUCCGCGAGUUGCAACAGGCGAGGGCGUGGGAGGCGCGGCAGAUGUGUUUCGCCAAAAGGUGUAAACCCUAGGGCGCCCCCACCCCUCUAUUUAUAGAGGUUCCUGACGGGCCUCUGGAUCCGAGGCCCAUUAGUACUUCUAAACCUAAUCCAACUCGGAUCUGAUCCGAAUUGGGCUUCCAGCCCCUUAAGUGUGUGACCCUAUGGGUUCGGAUACGUAUAGACAUGGCCCGAGUACUCCUACUCGGCCCAAUAGUCGGUAGCGGCCUCUAGCAAGACGUGCCAACUCCUACACGCACACGAAGAUCAUAUCAGACGAACCAUCACAACAUAAUAUACAUGCUAUUCCCUUUGCCUCACGAUAUUUGGUCUAGCUUCAAGCCGACCGCUCUUUCUCGAUCCUGUGAUUCGGAAUCCCUUUGUAGGUUAACUCUUAACCGUACGUAGCAUGGCCAUGCAUUUUCGGAUCCGAUCACUCGAGGGCCCCAGAGAUAUCACUCUCAAUCAGAGAGGGGCAAAUCCCAUCUUGACUGACCAUGUCUCAUAGCAUGCUUCUUGACAAACCCGAAAGCUACCUUUAUAACUACCCUGUUACGGCGUAGCGUUUGAUAGCCCCUAAGUAGGUCGAUCCACAUCUAGAAUACAUGCGACAGUCUCAGGUCUAAGGACAAAGUGUAUAUGUUGUUUAAAGAGAGAACUACUUCUCGUGUUGGGUCAGUCCUAGCACAUGUCUCCACAUGUGUCCACAUUAUUAGUUCAACAUCUCCAUGUCCAUGACUUGUGAAACAUAGUCAUCAACUAAUACAUGUGCUAGUCUAAUAUUCAUGUGUGUCCUCACAUGAACUCCGACUAGGGACAACUUUAGAAUAACCAUACAAGUAAAGAGUUUCACAUACAAUUCACAUAAUUGCAAAUCAAUUCAAGUAGCCUUUAAUGGAUAUUCAAUGAACACAAUAUAUAAAUCAUGGAUACAAAUGGAAUAUCAUCAUCUCUAUGAUUGCCUCUAGGGCAUACCUCCAACAGACGAAGUGCGGUGCCGCCCAGUUGAGGACAUCCUCGCGAGAUGAUCACGGUCUUCAAGUUGAACAACUUAUGCAGUGUUAAGAUAAUAAUUUUUGUACAUAGAUGGCUUCUGCUACUGGAGGAAGUGGCGAUGGUGGGGGCGAUCGUGGUUCCUAUUAUGGCAAGGUUCCAAUCAUAGUUGGCCCUCACCAUAAGCCAAAGAAAAAGAGCACGCUAGAAAAAGCAAUGCUUCGUUAUUUGCGGCAACGUCAUGAAGAAGCUGUUGCCGCGGGUCAGGAACCUCCUUUUGGUGGUCGUUAUGCUCCACCCUCAGUCCCGGGUGUUUCACGUCCACUUAGUACUACCGUUUCAGGCGGCACAAAUAAACCUAAGGAUGAGGUGUGGUCAGCGGAACCUUCGUCUUCACCGUCCAAGGAUGCUUAAAGUCCUCCUUGAUAAUAACCAAUGGAUGGCUUGUUGUAUUGUAUCAUGUUGUUUGGGACUUUAAUUUAAAUAUGUGUAUUUGGAUCUUCAUGUUGUUGUAUUGUACCAUGUUGUUUGGAUCUUUAAUCGAUUUUCACGCGUAAUCCAUUGUCAAGUGUAAUCCAUUUUCAUGCGUAAUACGAUGCAGAUGGACCGGCAAUGGAUGUAUAAUGCAGACACGCGGAGCAAGGCGUUUAUUGAUGGCUUGCAUUAUUUUCUCGAAGUGGCAAAAGCGAACAAGCCAGAGAAUGGGUUCGUAUGUUGUCCAUGCUUCCAAUGCAAUAACAGGAAGGAGUAUUCAAAGGAUUCCUGGGGGACUAUUCACAGCCACUUGUUUAAAUACGGUUUUAUGCCUAACUAUUUGGUUUGGACCAAGCACGGUGAACUAGGGGUUGUAGUGGAAGAUGGCGAGGAGGAGGAGGAAGAUCACACCAUUCCGGACUGGGUUGCAGGCCAAGCUUUUGCAGGUACUACAAUGGGCGAGGCUGAUGAAGAUGAGUUUGCGAAAAAUGGCCCUACUGAUGACCUUGGUCAGGUGAUACGAGAUGCAUACAGAGAUUGCGAAACUGAGAAGGAAGCAGCAAAGUUGCAGUGCAUGAUAGAUGAUCACCAAAAAUUGUUGUACCCAGGUUGCCAGCAGGGCCAUAAAAAACUAGGUACGACACUAGAAUUUGUGCAAUGGAAGGCAAAAAAUGGUGUGUCUGAUAAGGCAUUUCAGGGGAUGUUGAACAUUGUCAAGAAGAUUCUCCCCGAGAAUAAUGAAUUACCGUCCACAACAUAUGAAGCUAAACAGAUUAUUUGCCCUCUCGGAUUGGAUGUUCAGAAGAUACACGCAUGCCCUAAUGACUGUAUCCUCUAUCGUGGUGAUGAAUAUGAGAAAUUGGAUGCUUGUCCCGUCUGCGAAGCCCUGCGGUAUAAGAUCAGGCGAGAUGAUCCUGGUGAUGUCGAGGGGCAGUCUCUCAAGAAGAGAGUUCCCGCGAAGGUGAUGUGGUAUUUCCCUAUAAUACCACGCUUGAAGCGCUUGUUCAGGAAAAAGACGAAUGCUAAGUUGAUGCGAUGGCACAAAGAAGACCGUAAGGAAGAUGAGAUGCUGAGACACCCCGCAGAUGGGGCACAGUGGAGAUCAAUUGAUAGAACAUUCCCAGACUUUGAAUGUGAAGCAAGGAACAUAAGGUUUGGUUUAAGCACUGAUGGAUUCAAUCCAUUCGGUGAGUUGAGUAGUGGCCAUAGUACUUGGCCUGUGACCCUUUGUAUGUUCAACCUUCCUCCUUGGCUGUGCAUGAAGCGGAAGUUCAUUAUGAUGCUGGCGCUUAUCCAAGGCCCAAAACAACCCGGCAACGACAUUGACGUGUACCUAAGGCCGUUGGUUGAUGACCUUUUACAGCUCUGGAAGGAAGAAGGUGUACGUGUGUGGGAUGAGGAUAGACAAGAGAUCUUUAAUCUAUGAGCACUGUUGUUCGUAACCAUCAACGAUUGGCCUGCAUUGAGUAACCUUUCAGGACAGACAAAUAAGGAAUAUCGGGCAUGCACCCACUGUUUAGACGACACAGACAGCAUGUACUUGAAGCACUGUAAGAAGGUCGUCUAUAUGGGUCAUCGUCGAUUUCUCCCUGCUCACCACCAGCUGAGAAAGAGCAGGAUGCAUUUCAAAGGGGCGCCAAACCAUCGUAAAAAACCUGCACACCGUAAUGGAAAGCGUGUGUUUGAGAUGAUGAAGGAUGUAAAUGUAGUCUUUGGAAAGGGACUUGGUAGCCAACCUGUUCCGAACGACGAUAACGGACAUGCACCCAUGUGGAAGAAAAAGUCAAUAUUUUGGGAGCUACCUUAUUGGGAAAUCCUAGAGGUUCGCAACGCAAUAGACGUGAUGCACCUGAUGAAGAAUCUUUGCGUGAACGUGCUAGGCUUCAUGGGUGUUUAUGGAACCUCAAAAGAUACAUUGGAAGCACGACAGGACCUGAAAGCCAUGGGGCAACGAGAUGACCUACAUCCGGAAAAGAGAGAUAAUGGACAGCACUACUUACGUCCUGCCAGUUACACUCUCAGCAAGGAAGAGAAGGAUAGCAUGUUUGAAUGCUUGAAUAGUAUGAAGGUCCCGUCUGGGUACUCCUCGAAUAUAAAGGGAAUAAUAAAUAUGAAACAAAAGAAGUUUACAAAUCUCAAGGCUCAUGACUGCCACAUGUUGAUGACCCAGUUGCUUCCGGUUGCACUGAGGGGUGUUCUACCAGAAAAUGUCCGGUUGCCGCUCGUAAAGCUAUGCGCGUUUCUCAAUGCGAUUUUGCAGAAGGCAAUCGAUCCAUCCAAGCUAUCAAAGCUACAGAACGAUGUGGUGCAAUGUCUUGUCAGUUUUGAGUUGUUAUUUCCACCAUCCUUCUUCAAUAUUAUGACGCACUUACUGGUUCACCUAGUAAAAGAGAUUGGUAUUCUCGGACCUGUAUACCUGCACAAUAUGUGGCCUUUCGAGAGGUUCAUGGCAGUCCUAAAAAACUAUGUUCUUAAUCGUGCCCGUCCAGAAGGAAGCAUCGCCAAGGGAUAUGGAACAGAGGAGGUGAUCGAGUUUUGUGUUGAUUUUAUUGAUUCAAUUGACUCGAUUGGGGUUCCAGCUUCACGCCACGAGGGGAGGCUCCAAGGAAUGGGCACCCUUGGAAGGAAAUCAAGUUUGAGCAAUGAUACUGAUUUGUUCGACAAGGCACACUACACUGUUCUACAACAGUCAUCCUUUGUGUCUCAGUAUAUCGAGCAGCACAGGCAGAUGGUAGGUUCCAAAAACCCGACCAAAUCCGAUGCUUGGCUUACCCGUCAUCACAUGGAAACUUUUCCCUCCUGGUUGCGCCAACAACUUAUGGGUAACUCUGAGAUUCACCCACAACUUGCCUGGUUAGCCAGGGGACCUGCUACCACAAUCGUCAAAUUCCAAGGCUAUGAGAUAAAUGGUUACACAUUUUACACGAGAGCCCAGGACCAGAAAAGCAUGAACCAGAAUAGUGGUGUCCGCAUAGAUGCCAUGGACAGAAAUAAUAGCAAGGAGUCGUAUUAUGGUUUCAUACAGGAGAUAUGGGAACUCGAAUACGGACCGCUGUACAUCCCUCUAUUUCUUUGCAAUUGGGUGAAGCUAACUACCGUCACCAAAGAUCAGUACGGAAUGACAAUAGUAGAUCUGAGCAAGACUGGAUACAGUGAUGACCCAUUCGUACUUGCCAAUGAUGUGCAUCAGGUGUUCUAUGUGAAGGACAUGUGCAGCAAACCCAAGAGGAAUCCAGAAGAGACAUGGGAGCCAAAGUGCCACAUAGUUCUUCCAGGUAAAAGAAAAAUCGUGGGAGUCGAGGAUAAAACAGACCAAUCAGAUGAUUAUGAUCAGUUUGAUGGCAUGCCUCCAUUCGCCGUUGAAGUUGAUCCAAGCAUCCUGCUAUCCAAAUAAGAGGCUCCGUACUUACGCCGCGAUCAUGAUCAAGGAACUUUCGUGAAGAAGAAAUUUUACAACAUUGUAUUGUAAUGCGUUAAAUGUACAUGAUCUUUGUGUAUUAAUUGAUACAAUUUGUAAUUUACCCUAUGUAUGAUUUCAUGUCUUCUUAAAUUUCUUAGGUGAAGAUUUUAUAGAUAAACAUGAACAAUGUUAACCACAAACAAACAUGGAUUUUUUUGCGCAUUGAAAUUAUUUAAUUGAAUAAUUUCUUGAUCACAACAAUGCAGUAAAAUAAAUAUUUUAGAGGCUAAAUGAACUGGUAUAGAAUUCAUGAUUAAUUCAUACUUAUUGUCAAUUUACUCGUUAAUUAAAUAUAUUUUUGCAUGUACAAAAUCUGUGAAGGUUUUGUUUUUCAUCCUGAAAUGCAGUGAAAAGAUAAAAUAAAAUCCAUUUCCAAAAAAUAGGCGGGAGAAGAAAAGUAGGAAAAAAGACCUUUUGUCUCGGGUGCUAACAGCAACCGGGACAAAAGGCCCCCCUUUUAUCCCGGUUGCAAACUGCAACCGGGAUAAAAGGGUACUUUUCGUCUCCCGCCCCGACGUACCCUUUUAUCCCGGUUGCCAACUGCAAUCGGGAUAAAAGGCCCCCCCUUUUAUCCCGGUUGGUGGUGGCACCUGGGAUAAAAGGGUACGCUCCCAGCCCUACCUGGCGGGGGCACCCUUUUGUACCGGGUCCCGUCACCAACCGGGAUAAAAGGCAACCGGGAUAAAAGGCCUUUUAUCCCGGUUGGUGACGGGACCCGGGACAAAAGGCCCUUUUGUCCCGGGUGGCAUUACGAACCGGGAUAAAGGGGGGGGGGGUUAAAAGGCACUGUACUCCCUUCUACCCCCCGCCAGUUACACUUAGCCAAAUUUUCGCCUAGUCCCGCGCGUUCUCCGCCGUCGCCGCCCGUCCGCCUCCCUCGCCGGCCGCCGCCGUCGUCGUCCCCCAUUGCACCGUCGACGUCCCCCAUUGCGCCGUCGUCGUCCCCCGGCCGGCCUGCCUCGAUCCCCUCCUCGUCCGUCGACGCGCCCGGCCCCCGGCCGCCUCGUCGCCUCCGGCCACCGGCUCCAUCCUCGUCGCCGGCUGCAUCCUCGUCGCCCCUCGUCGCCCCUCGUCGCCGUCUCGUCGCCGUCCCACCUACGCCACCCGGCCGCCGCCGUCCCGCCGCCCCGGCCGCCGCCCCGCGCGCGAGAGGUCCGCCGCCGCGCCGGCCGGCAGCGCCGGGAGGGUUUUUUUUUUAAGUUAGAAAAUUAAGUUAUAUUUUUAUGAUAGAUUUUUAAUUUUGAUUGUUAAGCUAGAAAAUUAAGUUAUAUUUUUAAGUUAGAUUUUUUAGUUAGUUUGUUAAGUUAGAUUUUUAAGUUAGAAAAUAAAGUUAGAAAUUCGUAGGAUGCACCGCCGUCCCCUCCGCCGUCCUGCCGCCGUGACCGCCGCCGUCCCGCCGCCCGUCACAACCUAGUAGACACCGCCCGUGGUUCCGGGGAACCGUCCCCGCCUCCGCCGUACCGCCGCCGUGAUCGCCGCCCGUCACAACCUAGUAGGCACCGCCCGUGGUUCCGGGGAACCGUCCCCGCCUCCGUCGUACCGCCGCCCUCAGUGCCGCCGUCACAACCUAGGCAGCGCCCGUGGUUCCAGGGAACCAUCCCCGCCUCCGCCGCCCUGAUCGCCGCCGUUACAACCUAGGCACCGCACGUGGAUAUUGUUAGAAAUUCGUAGAAAUUCAUAGAAAUUCGUAGAAAUUCGUCAAAAUUCGUAGAAAUUCGUAGAAAUUCAUAGAAAUUUGUAGAAAUUCAUAGAAAUUUGUAGAAAUUUGUCAAAAUUCGUAGAAAUUCGUAGAAAUUCGUAGAAAUUUGUAUAAAUAUUCCGGACUUUGUAGGAUUCAUGUUAUUUUAUGAUUUCAUUAUAUACAUUAUGAUUCCGGACUUUGUAGGACUUUGUAGAAAUUUGUAGUAAGAUGAUUUCUAUGACUGUCAUGUAUGAUUCCAUGUAUGUUUCCAUCAAUAGUUGAAAUGGCAGACGAUGAGACCGCAAGGUAUAUCAUGGAGCAGAUAAUCGCUGGUGAUGGUAGUGGCGACAACAUUCCACUAUCAUACAUGGAUGAAGAGGGCACCCAGGCGGACAUGUUCCUCAACAUGUCCGCCGAUGGGAAUGAAGAGCAACAGCCGCAGCAACAACUUGCCGUGGUGGAAGGUUCCGGCGAGGUAUAUGUUGGCGCUAGAAAUCGGUCAACCGAAUCCCAGCGACCGACACACGACCCGGGAGAAUCUGCUUAGCUCCUGUUCGGGUGAAUGCCCUGGUGCAGUUCGCGCAGCGUGCCAGCCAAUCUGACCUGUUGAUUGGCAAGGAAGAAUACGUGUCAGGUCCAGAAAUCACGAUCGGCUAAGUUUCCGAUCGAGAGAAUUUAUCAACGAAUCGGCCGAUUUACUGUAGUAAUGAAAUCGGCUAUAAGACAGCCUGAUCUCUGUAGCCUUGUAGACAAGGAAUUACUAAAGUAAUCGAUACAAAGCUAUGAUAACAACACUAGGAACAGAUCUAAUCGGCAAUAGAUGAAUUUAAUAACAGAAUAUAGAAAGAGCCGAAACUACCGAUUCCUAGCUGGAUAACUGGUGAUAAAGACUAGAAAAAUAGGUAAAACCUAUGGAUCUAGCAAAUAUCGAUAACUAGUGAAUAUAUCUAAACGAAACAACAGCGAUACGCCCGAAGUUAAAGCUUAGAUAUUACUCGAUAAACGGAACUUACAGAAUCGGCCGGAGAUCAAGAUGAUGCAGCCCUGCCAACCCGCAUGAACUCGUGAGAAGAGAAAAGUAAUGGCGAAGUCGCCUGCUUGAAAGUAAGUACGAAGAAAAAGUAGCUUGUUGUAUUGAUUGGUUGAUGAUUACAGAUUUACAAAGGUAGCUAUUUAUAGCCCCAUACAGAUAUCUUCUUAACCGACUAGAAUUCUAUCCCUAAUUCAAACAGAAAACGAAUAUCUACAAGCAUGAUUCGUGCUAGGUUAGUUACUCCACGCUUCGUGGGCUGAUUUCCAGCUCACCCUUCUAUUCCAAGCCCAUACAGGCCCAAUUAACCCAUCCUCCUAAUCGGCCGAUUCCUCAUCGGCAAAAGGCUACCGAUUGGGACUCUGGUAUAUUCGACCCGAAACGAGACAGAAGUCACCGGCCGAUCUCACACUGUAGCACCACUUGGCCGAUUCCCAAUUGUGCUCCUCCGAUUCCCUCUCUUCUUGGCGCCGAUUCUACUAGUGACGAAAUCUGGCGUCAACACAUGCCCCCCAGUUUCGGAGUAAAACAUAGUCUUUUACUUCGAAAUUCUUUAUAACCUCCCUUCCGAAACGGCCGCAGUGAAAAUAUCCCUCCGUUUCGCGGUCUUCCAGCUGAUCAUUGCAAUUUUUCGAAACGGGCGCCCACGACAGCCACUACUCCCGAAAAACUCGAAACGCCGGCGCGGUGAAAAUUCCAUUUUUACCCCCCUUCAGGCAUCCUUUAAAUAGCGCUUCACCCGCACCUCAUCUUCAAGCUCACGUCUCUUUUCCCAGUGCGCGCGCCUUCUUCCUCCUUCAGCAUCUUUCCCUUGCCGCCGAAGCUUCCUAGCUCCACCUCCUGUUACUCUUCCCUCUUCUCUUUCAAUGGCGGCUCCUUCCGGCAGCUCUCCCGCAUGCGAUGUCCCAGAGGUAGCGCCUCCGGCGGUGGUAGCGACAGCCGUCGCUCCAUCCACAGAAGAAGGAGCUUCAUCGGAGAUCCCAAUGGCGAUCCCCAUCACGGCCCCGUUGUCCGCAUCCGCACCGGCAACCACGCCGAUCACUCAGAACUUCAUCCCAGAGGUAAAUACCGAAUCCUUCUCCUAUCGGCAAUUAAUUUACCUUAGAUCUGUUUCUUACUUUUUACACCCCCUUUUCCUUUUUUAGGCAGUUAGGCAUCGCAUUACCAUUCACCUUACGGGAAAUCCCGGCCUUAUUUGUCUCGGACCUAUGGGAAACCCAGAUCCAAUAGAGCUUAUUAAUUUGGAAACCCACAGGAUACCCUUCAAACUGUCUAAUAUGGACUUAGAUCAGUGGCUGGGUACUUUUAGAUCUUGGCCGAAUGAAACCCCAGGUUGGAGGGAGUGGUACCAAUGGAUAGCCGCAUCAAAGAGCGUCUCAUGGGAAGAGCUCAAAAUCGGCCAGUGCAUCAACCUUUCCUUAUCCCAGAUGGAGAAAAAUGAGCCGUUAGUAAUGGCGGCUUCUUAUUUUUGGUCUGAUGCACUUAAUGCCUUCUUAUUUGGGCACGGUCCUAUGACCCCAACACUGGCCGAUGUGGUCCUGUUGACCGGCCUCGACAUAUCCUCCCCGGACACACCCUAUCACCUUUUAACCACAACGUCACAUCGGCUGGACACAAGGGGAAUCGGCGGGUGGAAGGGUUUCAUCAAAAGUAAUAAGAGGACCGGGACUGUUGAGAAUAGGGAGCACACAGCUUUCCUGAUGAUGUGGCUAGAAAAGCACUUCUUUUGCGGAAGAGCCGCCGGCCCGACAACCAAUACCCAGGCCUUAGCUGAAGCACUGUCCAAGGGAAACCAUGUCCCUCUUGGGAAACAUCUGCUAGGGGCCGCGUACCACAUGCUACAUCAAAUCGGCAUAAGACUAUCCAAGGGAGAGCCGAUCGGCAAUCAAGGCGGGCCCUGGUGGUUCAUCAACUUGUGGUUGAACCUUUAUAUGAGCAGAAUUACUCAGCAGCCGGUGGAUCGCAUGACGUUCCCCAACAUCGAAUCGGUAGAAGACCCUACCGAACGUCGCCGAUGUAUGUCCUUUGGUGAAGCGGCAUCGGCUUUUCCAGGUUGCAUGUAUUCUGCUACAAAGGUAGCCGAGUACUUUCGAUGCUUCUAUAAUGGCUUUAGUGAAGAUGCAACCAUUUGGUUUCCGUAUUAGCGAGACGACCCGGUCUUUGAACUCCCCACUUGCUUCGAUUCGGCUUCCGGCCGAUUUGAUAUAGAGCUCUAUGAUGAGUUGAUCAAGCCAGGGCUCCUGCCAGCCAAUUUCUUCUCGGGGAAGGAUGCCCCUACGUACGAAUUCUACAACCCCUCCGCUGCAGCACGUCAAUUCGGCAUGGGUCAGCUGCCGAUUCAAGUGUACUUUGCUGGCCGAAUCAAGUUUAGGGAUGAGCUCACAUCUGGUCUGGAUUACAGUUGGUUACGAGACCGAAUCCCGGACUCCAGUACAAUUGACCUGAACGACUGGCUAGUAGCUCCCUUUGCUGUUCAGCCGUUCAAACUCUGGUGGGCCGAUUGGAAGCAAUUUCUUUUCUGCAACUCGGCAUCGGCAUACUGCAACCUUCUGGACCCAGCCAACAUCGACCCGAACGUCGAGGUAUUUCACUUAGCCAAUUUUUAUUCCUCUCAACAUGACUAAGCACUAAUGAUUUUAUUAUCUUUUCAGGCCGAGAAUCGAACUCCUCCAACACACAGCCGCAGCGGACGGCUAAUAGAAAGUCACCCAUACACAACUUAUCCUCUUAUCGGCUAUGACGCUCCGUCUGUUGACGUGAUUGCUGGCCGAUCAAAACAAGUCCAUAAGAGGACUACCAAGAAAACCAUUCGCCGAGUCCGAGCUCGUGUAGAAUCGGCAGAUCCCCCUGUGCUCGUAUCGGCAAAGACCCUGGCCGCACCACCUUCUCAGGUCAUCCAAGAUGCCGAUACCCAAGCCGUUGCGCAAGCUGGAACAGCCGCCGCGUCGUUGUUGUUGGAGGCCAUACAGGUAAACCUGAAUUUUACUGCUUCCGAUUGUUAUUCUGAUAUUAACCCUUCUUAUCCUUAGACUGCACAGAGCACCCCUAUGGAAAUACAACAAUCGGCAGCAACUCAACCAGCCAUCGGCGCGCCCCCGCUUUCAUCCGUUGAGGUAUAGUACUAUUUUACUGAUUUCCUUUGGUAUUUGCAUAAUGUACUUAUUCAAUCCUCUGACACAGGCCAUCGGCACACCAAGCGCUCCUCGACAACCGAUCUCUUCUCAGGGAGCUGGUCCAAGCACCGCGCCGAUUAUUGUGGAAUCUUCUUCAUCCGAUGAACCUAUGGCGCAGGCUCCUGAGCAAGGCGUGACGGCUUCACAAGUGCAGCAUGAGGAAAUUCGCUUCAAAAUGGUAAGUUUUGUUUCGGCUUCUAUCCAGCCGAUUUGCUUUUACUUCCAGCCGAUUUAUUUCUUUUCUUUAUUAUCUCCAGGAACAGGACACCCCCGACAACAGCCUCUUUUCUUUUGCGGUCGCCCUUUCCGACGACGAAGAGGUUGCCUCUCGCCAAGUUGCCUUGAGCUCCGUCCCUGAUGACAUCCGAGCCAAACUUUCCAGCAUCCGAUCCCUCCUUCAAGGGGACAUCGGUCGACUAGUAGAAGAUGCUUCAUCGAUUCGGCAGCUCUUCAAUGACAUCAGCGGACGAGUACCAGAAGAGGCGGAGGAAGCCCUGGCACCAGCGGCCUUCAUCGAGUCUAUGAGGAUCCCAGUCUUCAGGGCUCUUCGUCAUAUGGCCGAUCAUGCCAAGCUUGCCAAGACUCGUGAAGAGGAGGACGCGUUCAAGCGUCAGGCUCAAGAGGCACAUCGGCGCAUCCAUGUUCUGGAAGAUUCUCGCCCGGCGAUCAUCGGUGAGAUAGACCGCCUCAAGCGUCGGAGGGCGGAACUUGCCAAGGAGAUGGAGCAAGUGACUAAAGCAAUCAGUGCCGAAGAGAAAAAACUCCAAGAGCUACCUUCUGUCAUUGCCGAUUUGACACGGGAGAGGCAGCGCUUUGCUCAUGAGGCCCUAAAGCUCCAUUGCAGUACAUCAGAAGUCCCCGGAUCGGCAGAUGAAGACCAACGGGUUCUUGACUCUGCCGAUCAGAUCCGGCGCCGGGCUAUCACAGCUAUCGAUACCCUUCUGGGUAAUCUGUAAAACACUGACCGUUUGUCCGAACAUUUACUAUCUUCUUUGACCGUCCCUCGCGACGCCCUUUCUAUUUAUUACCUUUCUUAUUUCCGAUGGGACGUAGCCUUACCAAAUUUCCACGCAUCUUUUUCCAUAAAUACCGACCUCGGCACUUACUCCCGAUAGUACCAAUUUGGCUUUCGGUUUUACUCUCUCCUUCCUCUUACCGGUGCGACUUUCUGCCAUGGCUUCGUCGGCUUCUUCUUCCUCUGUUAACCAGGUGCAAUCUUGCCCUCUACCUCCCCCUCUUUUUAGAUCCUAGGAAAAGAAUGUCCCUUCUUAUUCCUUCUUUGUUUCAGCCUCAACGUCUUAGCCCUGCGCUCGUGCGCGCCAUUGAGCUCAUUCACUCUGAGGACCCAUUGACGUCGGAGGAUAAGGCGCUGAUCCUGGCCCAUCGUGAGGAACUUCGAGAUCACGUCACUGCGGAGGCUCGUGUGGUCUUGGAUCUCAUGGAGAGUGACAGUAGCCGACGAUCUCCAACCAUCAGGAGCCUUCAUUGUGGCGGCCUUGAAGACGAUGUUGCCACGGCGGCCCGUACGAUUUUGGACUUUAUGGAGAGCAAUGGUAGCCGGCGACCUCCCACCGAUAGGAGCCAUCCGCUUCCUCAGCAAGUCGUUCUCGAAGACGCAGCGGCAGGAACUUCGCGCCCUCCCAUGGAUCGGAGUCAUUUUCUCCCUCGUCAAGUUGAAGCGGAGACUUCAAUGAAGGCAAUAGAAGAAGAAUACCUUCACGUCAUGAGCGAGUUGGAGCGGAACGGGAAGGCGCCCAAGAAGAAGAACAAUUAGUUUUUUGUAUUUUUUGUUCUAAGGGCGACUAAUGUUUUGUCGGCCAUGUAACCCGCCGUCCGUACCGAAUGAAUGCAAUCGGCCGAUCCGGUCGACUAUGUGUUUGAACCGAUUUGUAUUGGCUAUGCGUUUGAACCAAUUUGUAUCGGCUAAGUGUUUGAACCGAUUUGUACCGGUUAUGUGUGGUCGUGUUAUGGUCAAUUUCCUACGCUCCGACCCAUAUACUGGGGUAGUAUCUUUUUAAGUACCUUCCGUUCAGAGCUCUAGUAAAUUCCUCUCCUUCUAUUGUUUCCAAAAUGUAAGCAUUUCCUGGGGCGCAUCUGCCGAUUUUGUACGGCCCUUCCCAUGUAGGGGACCAUUUUCCGAAUUUAGGAUCCUUCGACCCAAUCGGCAAUACUAACUUCCAUACUAAGUCCCCAGGGGAGAAUUGUUUGGCUUUGACCUUUUUAUCGUACCACCUGGCUACCCUCUUUUUAUUUUCUUCAAUGCUUAUCAGAGCCCUCAAUCGUUGGCCAGCCAAAUCGUCAAGUUCCCUUUUCAUAAGUGACGAGUAAUCAUCGGCCGUUAACUGGUCCUGGAGCGAAAUACGCCUUGAUCCCGCCCUUGACUCCCAUGGCAGUACCGCAUCGUGACCGUACACCAAUUGGUAGGGAGAUAACUUGGUAGCCCCAUGACAAGCCAUCCGGUACGCCCAUAAGGCCUCUGUCAAACAUAGAUGCCACUUCUUCGGUUGUUCCUCGACUUUUCUUUUGAUCAAUUUGAUUAUCCCUUUAUUGGAGGAUUCCGCCUGACCAUUGGCUUGGGCGUAGUAUGGAGAAGAAUUUAACAAUUUGAUUCCCAUAUUGGUCGUAAAUUCCUCAAAUUUCCCUGAUGUGAACAUUGUUCCUUGAUCGGUUGUUAUAGUCUGAGGGAUACCGAAUCGGUAAACGAUGUGGUCCCUUACGAAGUCAGCCAUGAUAGCCGAUGUCACGGUUCUCAACGGGAUAGCCUCUACCCAUUUGGUAAAGUAAUCAGUAGCCACCAGAAUAAAUUUGUGCCCUUUGCUUGAUGGUGGGUAAAUUUGGCCAAUAAGGUCUAUUCCCCAUCCCCUGAACGGCCAUGGCUUAAUGAUGGGAUUCAUGGCCGAUGCGGGUGCACGCUGGACAUUUCCAAACUUUUGGCACUCCUGACAGCCCUUAUAAUAUUUGAAACAGUCUUUGAGGAUCGUUGGCCAGUAGUACCCAUUAUUCCUGAUCAUCCACUUCAUCUUAUGCGCCGAUUGGUGUGCUCCACAUACCCCCUCAUGGAUUUCUCCCAUCAGCGUCUUGGCCUCCUCUGUCCCAAGGCAUUUGAGAAGAACUCCGUCGAUCGUUCGGUAGAAUAGGUCAUCUUCGAGCAGCACGUAUUUGGUGGCAUGAAAACGUACUCGUCGCUCCACCUUUUUAGACGGAUCCUUCAGGUAGUCGGCAAUUUCUUUACGCCAGUCAUCGGCCGUGAGCUCUAGAGCCAUAGUGCCUAGAAUUAGCCGAUACCCAGACGCAUGCUGGGCAAGUUUGUUGGCGUCUUCGUUGCGGUCUCUUGGGAUGUGCUCGAUUACUGCCGAUCGGAAUUCUUUUAAAAGCUGUAAGCAAUCUUCGUAAUAAUUUCUUAAUACGUCAUCUUUGCAUUCGGACCUUCCGGUCAGUUGAUCCACAAUAAGCAUAGAAUCUCCGAAGACUUCAACGGAAUCGGCCUUGACUUCUCUCAAUAGUUGUAAGCCUUUUAAUACAGCUCGGUACUCCGCUUGAUUGUUAGUAGCGGCGGUUUCUAUCGGCAGAGAAAAAUCAUAGCUUGCCCCCCGAGGCGAUAUGAGAACGAUGCCGAUUCCUGAUCCGACCCCACAUGAUGACCCGUCAAAAUAUAAUGUCCAAGGUGCCAGCUCUACGAGGGCAAUCUCCGGUCUGCAGUGCUGGGCGACGAAAUCGGUCAUGACUUGACCCUUGACGGCUUUUGCCGAUUCAUACCGCAGGUCAAACUCUGAUAAAGCUAAGAUCCAUUUGCCGAUUCGACCUUUCAAUAUCGGCAGUGAUAGCAUGUAUUUUACUACGUCAUCUUUGCAUACGACUACACAUUCUGCCGACAGUAGAUAGUGCCUGAGUUUGGUGCAUGAGAAGUAAAGACAUAGGCAUAAACGCUCCACCGGAGGAUAUCUUGUUUCAGCAUCCAGAAGUCUUCUACUGACAUAAUAAAUUACCCGCUCCUUGCCUUCAAACUCCUGGACUAGAGCCGAUCCAAUAGCUUUUUCAUCGGCUGAUAAGUAUAGUUUAAACGGCUUACCAGUUUGAGGGGGAACCAACACUGGUGGUGAGACCAAGUAUUGCUUGAUAUCUUCCAAUGCUUUGCGCUGCUCUUCUCCCCAUAUAAAUUCCUGGUCUGGCUUUAGCUUCAGAAGUGGCGUGAACGCCUGAAUCCGUCCAGAUAGAUUAGAUAUAAAUCUUCUGAUGAAAUUCACCUUGCCGAUUAGAGACUGCAGUUCGGUUUUGUUCUGUGGGGCCACGACUUUGUUGAUGGCCGCUAUGGUCUUCCGAUUGAUCUCUAUGCCUCGUUCGUGUACCAUGAAUCCUAAGAACUGUCCGGCGGAUACGCCGAAAGCACAUUUGUUGGGAUUCAUCUUAAGACCAUGUUUUUUGGUACACUCUAGCACUUUUCGCAAAUCGGCCAGAUGUUCUUCGUGACCUUUAGACUUGACCACGACAUCAUCGAUGUAGAUUUCUACCAGAAGGCCAAUGAGUUUGUGAAAUAUGUAAUUCAUAGCUCUCUGAUAUGUAGCGCCAGCGUUCUUCAAGCCGAAAGUCAUCACCACCCACUCGAACAAACCAAGGUGGCCUGGACAUCUGAAGGCCAUUUUGGGUAUAUCCUCUUCGGCCAUAAGUAUUUGAUUGUAUCCGGCGUUUCCGUCCAUGAAGCUAAUGAUUUUAUGCCCCGCGGCCGCGUCGAUCAGUACAUCGGCCGUUGGCAUGGGGUAACCAUCCAUCGGUGUGGCCUGAUUAAGAUUCCUGAAAUCAACGCAAACGCGUAGCUUCCCAUUUUUCUUGUAUACUGGUACGAUGUUAGAAAUCCACUCGGCAUAACGACAUUGCCGAAUAAAUUUUGCUUCGAUUAGCCGAGUUAUUUCAGCUUUUAUGUCUGGUAGAAUUUUAGGAUUGCAACGCCGUGCGGGUUGUUGGUACGGCCGAUACCCUGGUUUUAUGGGUAGCCGAUGUUCAACAAUGGAUCGGUCUAAACCGGGCAUCUCGUGAUACUCCCAAGCAAAACAAUCCUUAAAUUCCUUUAAUAAAUUUGUCAAUUUACACUUGUACUCUGGAUCUAAAUUUGCACUAAUAUAAGUCGGCCUUGGUUUGGUACCAUCGCCUAAAUCUAUCAUUUCCAAUGAAUCGGCCGACGUGAACCCAUGCCCUAGCUUCCCAUCUUCUCAGGCGAACUGAUCCAUCUAUUCUGAAUCUUCGGAGCCGACUGCUCGGAUCGGCUGUAGGCCAAAAUCGGUGACCUUCAGGAAAUCGAUCUCCCAUACUCUACCUGAUAUGCACCUGACGGUUUCGCAACUCCACUGCUGCGUGUCGGCUGCCGCAAUGCUGUAUGCGGAGUCGGCUUUGACCACCUCGAUGUUAUCGCCGACCCAUUGUACGAGGCACUGAUGCAUUGUUGACGGGAUGCAGCAGUUUGCGUGUAUCCAGUCUCGGCCAAGUAGCAUAUUGUAGGAUCCCUUGCCAUUAAUAAUAAAGAAGGUGGUAGGAAGGGUCUUACUGCCGAUGGUGAGGUCGACGCAGAGAGCACCGCGAGCGUUUGAUACCUUGCCCUUGAAGUCCUUGAGCAUCAUGUCUGUCUUGGUCAAGUCGUCGUCGCUUUUCCCAAGUUUCCGGAGUACGGCGUACGGCAUGAUGUUGACUGCAGCUCCUCCGUCUACCAUCAAUCUAGUGAGGGGACGGCCAUCAACAUGCCCCUUAAGGAACAGCGCCUUCAUAUGUUGUCGUUCGUCAUCUUCGGGCUUUUCGAACAUGGCCAUCAUUGGCUCCAGGGCCAACUGCGCUGUCUGUUCUUCUAUCGCCGAUACAUCCUGUUGAUCGGCGGGAGUCAUGAAUUCCAUCGGCAAAAUGAAAACCAUGCCGAUCUCGGCCGCCGAUUCGUCCCCCGCCGACUCGUCGUUCCCUUUAUCAUUUCUUUUGGGGCGCCACACCCGAGGCCUUCCUUCCUUCUUGUCUGUCACGCUUUCUUCUUCUUGCUGUUCCAAUUGGCGGAGACGUUGGAUUCUUUGUUUUUGAGACUUGGUCAAUCCGUCGGGACACCACCUGGGGUUUAUUGGUCUUCCCCUUGACCUGGCGCGUUCCCACUCCGGUUCGCGUCCUAACGGGUUUUCAUCUGUCACCCGAGCAUCGGCCAUCUCUUUGAGCCGGCUGUGAACGCUGGCUUUGUUGUCCGACUGGUCAUGCCGAUCAGUCCUGCCCCUCUGCCUAUCAUGGCGUCUAUCUUCCGAUCGAUCAUAUCGGUCACUUCUGCCCCCCAGCCGAUCACGCACGGGAGGGCGCUGGUCAUCUUGGUUGCGCCAAUUCUUGCUGGUCGGUUCUGGCCUUCCAUCUCUGGAGCGAGACCCUUUGAACGGCCGAUUGCCACGAUAAGGACCGUUGCAUUCUGGGCAAGUAUCGGCUGAAGGUAGCCUGAGGUUGUGUUCCCAACAGUGAAUGAAGAACGGGCAUCUCAAGUGCUCCUCGUGCCGACGCAUUGCUUCUUCUCGGGACCUUGAGCGUUCAUGCUGACGUUGGUACUUCUGGAGCAGGAACUGGGAAGUAAUGCGUGGCCCUUCUGACUCACCAUCGUCGUCCUCUAUCCGCCGCUUCCCCUUGACAUCUUCAGGAGUAGCUUGAUUUCUGGGAUCGACGGCGCCACUCUUUUUGGCUAAUUCGGACGUCAGCACUUUUGUUUGGAGUGAAUUCUUCCCUGUAUCAACCAUGUUGGUAGGAAAGGGGUGUUGGUCAAUCUUCAUUGGCUUGGCCGAUUUUGCCGGCACUUCAAAUUUAAGUCUGCCUUGCUCAAUGGCCGACUGUAUCUGCUGCCUGAAGAUUUUGCACUCGUUGGUAUCAUGGGAUGUGGCAUUGUGCCACUUGCAAUACUUCAUCUUUUUUAGUUGUUCGGCAGAAGGUAUUGUAUGGUACGGCGAGAGUUUAAUCUACCCUUCCUGGAGGAGAAGGUCGAAGAUUUUAUCGGGCCUUAGUUGUGUCAAAACCGAACACUUCCGGAUCCUUUUUGCCGAAUGGGCAUGAUAUCGGCUUCUUCCCUUUGAUCCACUCCGCAAGUCCGACUUCAACAUCUUCCUCAUCCUCUAACUCUUCCAGGAACGCCACUUUCUUUUGGAAAUUCCUCCGCGGAUCAAAAGGACGUACCUCCUGUCCAAACAAUCGGUGAACAAUCUGGCUCAGACUUUCGAACUCUUGUGAAGCGUAUCUUUCUUUGAUGUGGGGCAGAAGGCCUUGAAAAGCUAUAUCGGCCAACUGUGCAUCGGUUAGAGCCAGGGAGUAGCACUUGUUUCUGAUUUCCCGAAACCUCUGUAUGUACGAGGAUAUCGGCUCAUCACUCCUUUGCCUGAGGCUGGUCAAAUCGGACAGCUUCAUCUCAUGCACCCCGGCAUAGAAGUAUUUGUGGAACUGUCUUUCUAAAUCGGCCCAUGUGAUAAUCGAGUUUGGCGGCAAUGUCGUGAACCAUUGAAAGGCUGAACCAGACAGAGAUGACGAGAACAACCGUACCCGUAGGGCGUCUUGCGUAGCUGCUUCUUCGCAUUGGAUGAUGAAUCUAUUCACGUGCUCUACGGUCGAAGUAUCAUCCAUCCCCGAAAAUUUAGUGAAGUCAGGAACUUUAUACCGAUGGGGGAACGGCAAUAGGUCAUAUGUAGAUGGGUAUGGUGUUCUGUAGGUAUAAGUUUGCACUUUUGGCUUCAAGCCGAAUUGUUCUUGCAUCACCUCCGCAAUACGUGCCGACCAAUCUGGCUGUUGCUGGUGAACUGUUGGCUGAGGUAUCGGCACGUGCUGGUAAAUCGGAGGCUGAAUAAACGGAGGCUGAUGAAAAGGUGGUAUCUGAGUGUAAGCCGGCUGUGUAGUAAAGGCUGGCUGUUUGAAUGAGCCACUCGUUUCAUCGUACAGCAUGAUCUCUGCUGUCUUGUUGAUCCCCGGAGCGACAGGCUAGUAUGGCGGCACGGUUGGCCGAAUAGCAGCCUGGAAGGAUGUCUGGAAUGGAGAGUUCACUUGACUGGCCGAUUGAUUCUGACCGGCCGUGACCGAAGGUGCCCCCCAGGGUGAUGGGUGAAUUGGGCUAACUGGAGGGAAUGGCGCAGAGGACAGUUGGAUGGAGCCAUAUCCCAUUGGAGUUGAUGACGAGGAAGCACCUGAACUCCCGACAGAAAACUGGAUCGGCUGCGAGGCCGAAUUCGAACAAUUCUGGUUUGGUGGAAUCGGCUGAAAAUAUGCCGGUCCCCUGUAUCCUUGAGGUAUGCCCCCGGCGAAGGAGUUGACAACAGCGUUGUGCACCAUGUUUGAAAGCACCGGGGACUGGUCAAUGAAAGCGUGAUGAAUAGACUGUUGAAUCAUAUCGGACAUUUUAUCCGAAUCUUCAGAAAUCGUGAUCUGGCGGGGAGCAGGGAAUGGAGUCUUCUUGAUGGUCUCCCCGCUUCUGGAGCGACUGAAAGACUUCAGGCAAGCUUUCUGGAACUGUGCCGUAUACUUGUCCAGCUCUUCCUUCUGGUCGUCCUUCAGAUCUGCUUCCGUCACCUCGAUGACGUUAUCUUCGGAGACUUCAGCAGCUUUCGACAUGAUGGCGGUUGUAUUGGUCCCACCGGGCGUGCCAAAAGUGUGUUGGCGCUAGAAAUCGGUCAACCGAAUCCCAGCGACCGACACACGACCCGGGAGAAUCUGCUUAGCUCCUGUUCGGGUGAAUGCCCUGGUGCAGUUCGCGCGGCGUGCCAGCCAAUCUGACCUGUUGAUUGGCAAGGAAGAAUACGUGUCAGGUCCAGAAAUCACGAUCGGCUAAGUUUCCGAUCGAGAGAGUUUAUCAGCGAAUCGACCGAUUUACUGUAGUAAUGAAAUCGGCUAUAAGACAGCCUGAUCUCUGUAGCCUUGUAGACAGGGAAUUACUAAAGUAAUCGAUACAAAGCUAUGAUAACAACACUAGGAACAGAUCUAAUCGGCAAUAGAUGAAUUUAAUAACAGAAUAUAGAAAGAGCCGAAACUACCGAUUCCUAGCUGGAUAACUAGUGAUAAAGACUAGAAAAACAGGUAAAACCUAUGGAUCUAGCAAAUAUCGAUAACUAGUGAAUAAAUCUAAACGAAACAACAGUGAUACGCCCGAAGUUAAAGCUUAGAUAUUACUCGAUAAACGGAACUUACAGAAUCGGCCGGAGAUCAAGAUGAUGCAGCCCUGCCAACCCGCACGAACUCGUGAGAAGAGAAAAGUAAUGGCGAAGUCGCCUGCUUGAAAGUAAGUACGAAGAAAAAGUAGCUUGUUGUAUUGAUUGGUUGAUGAUUACAGAUUUACAAAGGUAGCUAUUUAUAGCCCCAUACAGAUAUCUUCUUAACCGACUAGAAUUCUAUCCCUAAUUCAAACAGAAAACGAAUAUCUACAAGCACGAUUCGUGCUAGGUUAGUUACUCCACGCUUCGUGGGCUGAUUUCCAGCUCACCCUUCUAUUCCAAGCCCAUACAGGCCCAAUUAACCCAUCCUCCUAAUCGGCCGAUUCCUCAUCGGCAAAAGGCUACCGAUUGGGACUCUGGUAUAUUCGACCCGAAACGAGACAGAAGUCACCGGCCGAUCUCACACUGUAGCACCACUUGGCCGAUUCCCAACUGUGCUCCUCCGAUUCCCUCUCUUCUUGGCGCCGAUUCUACUAGUGACGAAAUCUGGCGUCAACAGUAUAUAUAACCAUUCUUGUAUUGUUUCACGCCACCGUUACUACUACGUCCUAAUUAACGAAUCUUGAACUGUUAGCCCUCCGGAUGGACACAAGGGCAGAAGACCCGAGGUCGUACAAAGGUGAUGGAAGGGAGGCUUGUCAUCACGGAAGUGACAGAAGAGGGCAGGCCGGUUGCUCCCGAGAAAGUAGCAAAGAAGUAUAUGAGUCAGAUCGGGGCAAUCGUCCGGGACAACGUGCCUAUCAGCAUCAGAGAAUGGAAGGGCAGAAGCACUAAUCCGUACGCCCUUCCAGAGACAGAAAAGAAUAUGCUGUGGGAAGACGUGAAGAGACAUUUCACAUUCCCCGAAGGAUAUAGUGAGAAGGAUGUCAAAGCGUGGACGCUUAAGAAGAUGGCUACUCAAUUCCAGACAUUCAAGAAGAUGCUGGAUACCCACUACAUCAAGAAGGGCCGAACUCCAGACUUCAACGCGUGGCCAAAGUUGAGGGACCACUGGGAUGCAUUUGUUGAAUAUAAGAGGAGUGAAGAAGGUGUGAAAAAGAUCACGACCAACACAGCAAAUGCUAGUCAGAAGGGCUACCACCAUCAUUUGGGGCGAGGUGGGUAUGGCUCAGCAAUUCCCAAGUGGAGGAAGAUGGAACAAGAUCUGAUCGAACGGGGAAUCGUACCUGCAACUAUUGAAUGGCCCGAACGAUCAAAAAAUUGGUACUACGCUCAUGGAGGCUCCCUAAGCCAAGAGGAUGGGAUGUUGAAUAUUAAUGACACAAUACGUGAGAAGGCCGAACAUCUCAUGAAGAACAUUGAAGAUUCUAAGGCUGGGAGGUUGAAGGUGGACCGAGAAAAUGAUGAGCUCACAUUGGCCCUCGGUAAUCCAGAGCACCCAGGACGUUGCCGAGGGUUCGGGGUGGUUCCGUGGAAGUUCACUUUCCGAGGCGACAGCACCUCGUACAGAAGCCGGAAGCGAAGAAAGGAACAGAUCGAGGAGAGCUGGCGGCAGAUGCUAGAACAAAGAAUGAUGGAUGAAAUCAAUCGGCGGGUGGCCCACGCAGUUGCGGAGUUGGCCCAAUCUGGAGCAUUGCCGAAUCCUAACACCGCCAGCCCUUCUCAACGCCUCUUGAGCAGUUGUGCUUCUACAGGGGUCCCCGAUGCGCAGACGCCCAGGUUACCCGUGGAGGAGCAACGGUUCCCCGUGGAUGCCAUCACACAACGGACCUCAUGUGAGCUGCAUGCACCGGUAGGCAACCUCACUAUUAAGGUAUACUUAUACAUAAUAUUUAUGCAAUCUUGUCAAUUGAUCCAGGCCUCGAGAUCGGAGUUCAACUUGUUUACUUCUGCUAUAUGUACAGGUAGCGUACGGGAGUGCGUUAGCAACCCUGGCGGGGCAGAGCAGUCAUGGCAUGGAAAUUCCAACAGGCUACGCCAGCGUCUGCGUAGAGCAAAUAGUUGAUCCCCAGUAUGAAGGUCUAGAGCUCGACUUCCCGGGAGGCGACGGGGAAAAGACAUUGGCAGAUGCGCUUCAUGGGAUAAUUCUAUGGAAGAAAUGCUACAUCAUUAUUCCCGGCACGGAGCCAUCUCCUCAGACCUCAAGACCGCUCCCCGUAGAUCCCCAGCAGCGACCUUCUCCUCAUACCUCGAGACCGUCAUCUCCUGCUCCAGGACCGUCCCUUCCAUCUAUAUCAAGGUCUCCAUCUCCACCACAUCCUAGUGCUGGGAGCGACGACGACAAUAACAACACCCCUCCCCGAUCACCGUCGCCGGCACCAAGAGCGGCCCCCUUGAAGGAACAUGCACCACCACUAAAGAAGUCACGAGCACCGCCUCCCAAGCAAAGACAGAGAAAGAAGAAAACAAAGGAGCCUGAAGUGACUCGUAAGGAACGCUUUGAGGCAAUGUAUCAUGCAGAACAGUGGGCAGAAAUCCAACGAGAGGCCAGUGAGUGGUUCAAGAAACAAGCCGAAGAAAAAAAGGCAAGGGAGAUGGAGCCACCGCCAGUAAGUCGGCGAGAUUUAAACUUUUUUAUCAGGAUGGAAGAAGGAGCCAAGAAAAGGAUACCACUCUUGUCAAACUAUGAACGGGCUCUAGUAAAGGCUGAUGAAAAGGAUAAAAGGAAAGGAAAGUCAUCUUCCAGCGGUCCAGUCCCCGACCUCAGCCAUUUAUCAAAAAAAGAUGCUCAACAGGUAAAAGCAAUGCCCUUGGAUCAACAAGCAAAUGUAUUGAAGUUCAUGGAAGAAACAGGUCUGGGACUUGAUGAAUGCAUAGGGCAAGUUGAGACGCCAACUGCACCGCCCCCUGAGCCGAAGUGGCCUUAUGAGCUAGGAAAACCUCUAGUAAAGCCUUCAUUGGUACGGAAGCUAUCAACAAAGAUGUACGCAUUCCAUCAAUGGUACAUGAUGGCAUCCGUCGACUCGAGGGAGAUGAUCGGCAUGAAGGUAAAACCGAUAGAUUUUCACGGUGAAGGGGAGAAAGUGAUGUGGCUAGACUUCAAGGAUAUAUACGAAGUGUACCAUCAUGAUGCCCUGGACGUCUCUCUGAUCAGCGCUUGGAUUCUGUAAGUGUCCGUUUAUCUCUACAUGUAAAUUUUGGCGUACAUCACCGUACUAACUUCAUCUUCCAUUUCAUGUAGGAUGCUAAUUCAGACAUGCCGCCGAGAGGCGUACCUACAUAUAGGCUUCAUGGAUCCAUCUGUAGUUAACCAACAACAGAUACAAUUAGCGCCGGAAAAAACCUUUGCGGAAAUAUACAAUUUCCUAGACAAACAAACAUUCAAGGAUUUCAUACUACUUUCAUACAACUUCAAGUAAGUGUGUGUAUACCGUCUACUUUCGAUGUCUUUUUCCUUAUCUCUACAUGUUAGUUAGCUCUAAUAUGCAUGAACAUUUUACGCACGCAGCUUCCACUGGAUCCUUAUUAUAAUUGAGCCUGAAAGAAGCCACGUCACUGUCUUCGAUUCGUUAAGGAAAGAUCCGGUGGACUACCAAGAAUUGCAAAACAUGCUAGGCUUGUAAUAAUUCUGGACCUUUAUCUCUAUGCAAAAAUUUAUUUCCUAAAUUUUAUCCCUGUUACACUAUAUCAUUCAUUAUUCUAAUCCGCAGCGCAUGGAAACAAUUCAUAAGGACACACAAAGGUCCAUUCAAAGAAAAACUUACAUGGAACACAGACUUCCCGGUACGUAUGCAGUCUGCACAUUUAUUACAUUGUAUAACACGAAUAUUUCAUAACUUAUUUUUUUCCGCACUGAAGUGCUUAAGACAGGAACCCGGGAAUAAUCUAUGUGGCUACUACAUCUGUGAGCACAUGCACAGUUUUAUGGGACCCAAGGGACCGAAGAUGACGCCGCACAACUUUAAAGUACGUAAAAUAAAACUAUUACUAGUUAAUUAUUUUCUAGCUCCUUAUAUGUAUUUGUUCAUGUAACAUUCACAAAUUUCCAAAUUAUAGAUGUUAAAUAUUCAACAAGGACUCUUGAAGGAAGAAAGAGUAGCGGCAAUAUGUGAAGGUCUCAUUGGAUUCAUAAUGGACGAGGUGGUAAAUCCAAAAGGAGAAUUUUAUUAUGAUGGACGACAAUUAGACACUCCGAUCAGCAACACCACGACGGGAAGAUUGUAGGAAGAUACUUUGAUUUAUUUGUAUAUAUAAUACGCGCUAAUUAUGAUCGAUUUGUACUAAGCUAGUUGAAUUGUGUAUAUGAAUUGUGUAUAAGGAUUGUGUAUAUAUAUAGUAAUUGUAUAAUUACAAAUCCCAUUCGUUUAAAUACUAGUUGAUUUCGUUCUAAAAAAAUCUCAACUACUAAAGGUUAACAAAUUAAAAGGGCCGCGGUACUACGUAUACGUGAUGCAUGCAUGAAAAAUUCAGGCGUCACGGCAGUGCCAUGCAAGCGUCAUUUAGUCCCGGUUGGAAUCCAGCCGGGACUAAAGGGUAACCCUUUAGUCCCGGUUGGUGACACCAACCGGGACUAAAGGGGGACCUUUACUCCCAGUUAAAAGACCCAGGACUAAAGACCCCCCCUUUUGUCCCGGUUGGUUUAUCCCGGAUGGAUUUUCGAGAGAUAUGUACCCUACCAACCGGAACUAAAGGCCAAUAUUGGUAAGCUUUCAAACAACCUUCAAGUGCUAGGGUUAGGACAAACAACUUGUCAGGGAUAAUUCCCACCAGCUUUGGGAACCUUACUGGCUUAACAAAACUUUAACUUAGUUACAACAAUCUCAAUGGUCCAAUCUUAGAGUGGGUUGGAAAUAUGAAGGAUCUUGGAGCUAUAGUUCUUGAUGCAAAUAACUUCACUGGUUUGAUUCCGUCUUCUAUGAGUAAUCUUACAAAAUUGACUCUGCUCUCUCUUACAAAAUGAAUUCGAAGGUCCAAUAUCACCAUGUCUGGGAAGUCUGCCACUUCUUACAUAUUUGAACCUUAGUUAUAACAAUCUGCAGGGUAACAUUCCUAAGGAAAUAUUCCAUCCCGAGUCCUCAAUAACCACAUGCGUGUUAUCCUACAAUAAGUUAGAAGGUCCAAUUCCUCCAGAGAUUUCUAAUCUUUGACGACUGACGGAACUAUAUCUUUCAUCCAAUAAGCUUAGUGGGGAAAUUCCUUCAACCCUAGGAAAUUGCAAAGAGUUACAGAUCAUUGAAAUAGAUUGUAACUAUCUCCAGGGGAGCAUUCCGUUGACUUUUAAUGGUCUAAAGAGCAUGACCUUGCUAAAUCUUUGACACAACAAUUUGUCAGGCUUCAUCCCAACAAAACUGGGUGACUUACCAGCUGCAACAAAUUCCUCACCCAGCUGGAUCUAUCUUACAAUAAUCUGCAAGGCGAAGUACCCACAAAUGGAGUAUUUGGAAACGCCAAAUUUUUCUCACUUCUUGGCAACUAGGGACUUUCUGGAGGAGUGCGGGAUCUACAUAUGUGCCCAUGUGCUACAGUCAUGGAGCAAAGAAACACGAUACUACUACCUGAUCAGGUUACUCAUCCCGGCAUUUGGAAUCAUGUCACCCAUAAUGUUGAUCUAUGCUGUAAUCCCACAGAAAAAGAAGUCAACAACAAGGUACUCAUUGUUAUUUUAUUUUGGUAAGAAAUUCCCUAUAGUUUCUUACAAGGAUCUAGCUCAAGCUACAGAAAACUUCUCAGAGUUCAACCUGAUUGGGAGGGGUAGCUAUGGUUCAGUGUACAGAGGAAAGUUAACUCAAGCUAAAAUGCAAGUGGCUAUCAAGGUUUUUGAUCUUGAGAUGAGAUUUGCAUACAAAAGCUUUGUAUCAGAAUAAGAGGUCGGGUGGGCCGCAGCCCACUCUAAGAUUUGGUCCAAAGAACCCAACGUAAGAAAUCGGUGCUCGAUAGCCUAAGAGGGGGAGGGGUGAAUUAGGCAACUUAAAACCUUAACAUGUGGCUUCAACUACAAAGCAUCAAAAAAUAGACUAAAUCAUGCUAUGCAGAUAUGCAUCUAUGGUUGAUCUAGUGAAAACUUCCCACCCACGAAGAGUUUUACAACUUAGAGCCAAUCCUAUCAAGAUAUUACUCUAGAAUAUAAGAAAUGCAAAAAUGUAUAAAAGUGGGUUAGGAACGAUGCAAACUCGGGACGACGAUUUAUUCCGUAGUAUCGAUAGGAAAAUGACACCUCUAGUCCACUAGAGCUCCACCGAGGAUACGCUCCUGGACACCAAAUCUCUCUCGAUCAAGGUCUUGGACCCACCACAAAGGCUCUCACCAAGCCAGAUGAGAAGCUUGCCAUGAAGGAAAGCUAACCACUCCCUCUCUUCCAUUCACCAUGGCGCCGUCUUUACUACAUAGCUUCUCUAUGAAGGAAGGGUUCUCCCCGUCCCCCGCACACGAUCGUUGUUAUUGAUCCACAUCAAGCUGGAGAGUCGAAGACUUGCCAGCGAGCCACCAAAGGCCCGAGGCGCCAGCACACCAAGCUUACAAUGGUGGUUCACUCCUUGAACCAAUCACAAGGUAGCAACACCUUGAACUCACUCUCUCUAGAUGUAUCCUAGCACUAAUCACUCUCGAAGCAUGUGCUAAACCUUGUAUUAUCACUUUUUGCACUUUUGGUGGGAUGGAUGUGUUCUUGAUGAGUCUUGAUCUUGAAUGAACUCUUGGACACUACAGCAAUUUCAAAUGGGCGAGUAGAGGGGGUAUAAAUAGCCCAUGGACCUCAAAGACCCAUUGAUCCAACGACUAGUAAAAUCUGUGAGCAUCGGAUGAUCCCAUGGUCACUUUAGAUAGGCAUCGGAUCAUCCGGUGCCCCUUGCUAAUGCAUAUAGCCGUUGGACCCCCUGCCCAAAAUUACUCCGAUGCUUCAUCCAAUGGGCAUCGGAAUAUCCGAUGCUGAGGACUUUUUCACCUAAAACCUUCUGGAUGAUUUCAAAGUAAAUAUGUUUAGUCCGAUGCCUCCAACUUCUGACCAUCGGAACAUCCGGUACUAUAGGAUUUUCUCCAUCUUCUUUGCGCAUUGUUCCGACGCUUGUAAAAAGAACCUCGUCAUAUCAUUCGGUGCUUACUGCAACUCAAGCUGAUUUCUCAAUUGUACUAAUUGCUUAGAUGGUUGCUCUAGUGGACCGUCGGAUCAUCCGGUGCUUCAUAUUUUUCUGAGUUGAAUAUCGCAAUUUGCACACAAAAAUACCAUCACUUGGAUUUCUAUCAUUUAAACACUUUGAAUACCAUAGAAUGAUCCAGAUAUUUAUGAAUUGGACACUUGAAUAUCAUGAUUUGGACCUUUUGCCAUGAUUUAGUUUGCAUUCUUAGGAUCCAGAAAAUCUAAGGUACAUGCUAGUCAAAGCAUUAGUUUGUCACUCAGUCAUUAAAAUCACAAAUUAUAACCUAAUAGGACCAUGUUCCUUGCAAUCCAGCUCCUAGAUUUUCCCAUCCGCUGAGACGCUGACAGAGCCAGCCACGAAGCCAGCACCCACGACUCAUGGUAAUCAUGGUAAUAAAAAGGAUCAAGUUAAUGAUUUGAUCUAGUGGCUUGUCAAAUUUUUUGCAUUGUUGGACCACUCUAACUUGAAAUCCUAGAAAUUCUCACUAAAAUCAGAAACAUCAAAUAUUAAUCGUGCAAACUCUAAUAAUUAUAAUCAUUGAUCUAUAAUAUUUUAUAAAAGGUUACCUACCAAACAUAUUCUAAAAUAAACCCUAACCCUAUAUCUAAAUUAUCGAGCUCUGCAAUUAUAAAAAACUAAUCUAAAGUAACCUCCAUAAUCUUCGUCCAAUUUAUUUAUACAUAUCAUUAUAAAGUAUAACUUCAAAUGUUACUCUAAAUUUGUAUCUAAGUUACCCACGUCUAAAUUUGUAUCUAAGUUACCCACGUAUGUUCUUAUUAAAAUAAUCUAAAGUAAACACCUAAAUCUUAAUCUAAUUAUCUUCAUGUGUGUCAUUCAAAAAAGUCCAAAAGUAAACAUUAUGAGUGUUAUUAUUAAUAUAGAAAUACUAAGUUAAGGUAUAUACGCAUGAUGAGUGUCACCAUGUAGACAAUCUGUACAUGUAUGUGGAGAUGUGAUACAAAAUGAAAAAAAAGUGUGAAUGUGGAUAAAAAAUAUAUAGAGUAAUUAAUAAUUAAAAAUAAUCAUAAGACAUAAGUAUACAUAUCAAACGCCUGUCUCGAUCGCUUGGCUUCGUGCCGAAACCAGCUAGCUAAACAGUAAACACCUUUGCCGUCGGGGCUGGCUCCACAAGGUGGCAGUUGUCAGUUGUGCUGUUCGAUCUCCAUCCCACGCUGGCAGGUAGGACACCCGUGAGGCGAUGAAUCGUGACGCGAGCUUCGACGGGCCGCUAGCUUCGACGUACGAGUACAGCGAGCAGUGGCUGGAAUUUUGCAAUUCCUUCGGUUGGGUUGGGUGGUUUUGUGCGGGAUCGGCAAUGGUGACAACUGGACGAGCUGUUUGUGUUGGCUUUGUGCAAACUGCUCUCAAGUACAUUACAUUCAUCUUCUAAUGAUCAAUUUACUGAGUUUGCUGUCGAAGAUGGGCUAACUACUUGGUGAUGCAAUCACAACGCAUGCAAAAGAUGUGUUUCAACUUGCACAGCCACCACCUUGCUGAUGGUGAUUUAGCUAAGUUUCAACUUGAAAUUUCAAACUUCCGAAAAAAAUGCAGCAAGAUCGUAUCUAUGACGCUUGACUCUUUGCAGAAUACUUACAGUUAUCUGGUCCUCAAUUGGAAUAAAUUUUGUUUGCAUAAAAAGUAAAGUGCCACAUUUUCACCUUCAUAGAACUAAUUGUCUCACUAGAUAUUUCUCCAAUUAAUAAUCAACAUUGUACGAGACCCCUACGAAGCACGGCAUUGUAUAGACUAUUCUUGUCGAGAUCGGAUACAUAAAAGUUGACUUGACGCGCUACCCGUUCAAAGAUAACCCAUGAACGAAUCAUGGCCACACGAUACAUUCUGGAAGCGCGAUCAUUACAAAGAUCCAAAUCGGAUUUGAAAACGAAAAUCCAGCGCCGGUAGACCAUUCCACGAGCUGAAUUUUAUCGUCAUCGAAACCGCACUAGACAUGUAGCACGCAUCAGCCCGGAAUAUCUCUGUCCAUUUCCUGCAGAAAAGUACCCUGCGAUUCGAGGCUGGACACGCCGCAACAAUCUUGUCCAGCUCAGACAGUGACGGCCGCACUGUUGAGAAGAUCGAAGCUGUGAAGUGGCGAUAACCGGCGAGUUUGACGGACUCGGGGUCUUCGCUCCAACGCCGUCAAGCUAAGAUAAGAUAUGAUGAUGAUGCAAGUGUGUGGAUUGUAAUACCGCUGUAAGACUGUUUUUAAACCCCUGGGGCCUGAGACAGUUGUGCAUCCAACUUAAGCACUAGUGGUCUCCGUUUCAGCCAUUCCUGAGACCAUCCAAACAGUUAGGUCAGGCAUAAGAGGACAUCAAACGCCUGCCUGGAUCGCUUGGCUCCAUGCCGAAACCAGCUAGCUAAACAGUAAACACCUUUGGCGUCGUCGAUCGGGGGCUCACCCCUGCACAAAUACGGCAGUGCUGUUCGAUCUCCAUCCCACGCUGGCCGGACGCCCGUGAGGCGAUGAGUCGUGUCGAAAGCUUCGUGGAUCGGGCCGCUAGCUCCAGUUUUUCAGACGAGUGGCACGCUCACGUGUGCACGUACGAGUACAGCGAGCAGCGGCUGGAAUUUUGCAAUUCCUUCGGUUGGGUUGGGUGGUUUUGUGCGGGAUCGGCAAUGGCGACAACUGGAUGAGAGCGGUUUAUGUUGGCUUUGUGGGAACUGCUCUCAAGUGCAUUACAUUCAUCUUCUAAAGUAGCUAACCCAUCUUUGUGCUGGCUAAUUUUCAAGUACUUCACAGCCAACCACCUUGCUGAUGGUGAUUUCGCAGAGUUUGAACUUGAAAUUUCAAACUUGGAAAAAAAUACACGAAGAUCAUAUAUAUGAUUGUUUCCAGAAUAUCAUGCAGUUAUCUCGUCCUCAAAUGAACCAUUUUUUACAAAAAAGGACUUUAUCCUACAAUUACUACCAACUUAAAAAAAGGACUUCAUGUUACUAUUAUUAAUUGGAGGGUGGACACUCUAGAAAAACAAAGAAAUCUUAGAAAUUCUCACAAAAAGUCAAAAUAUCUAGCCAUCAAUCAGUAUGCUCAAAUCAUCAUAGCCAUUGGAUCUAUUUAUGUUUUCUAAAAAAUUACCCAUGUAUGCCAUUAUGAAAAUAGCCUAAAGUAACCCCCUAAAUCCAUGUAUAAAUUACCCACCUCUUCCAUCAUAUAAAAUAAACUAAAUAACCCCCUAAGCUUCAUUUAAAUUACCCACUUAUACCAUUAUAAACAAUGUUUCAAAUAACCCCCUAAAUUUUCAACUAAAUUGCCCACCACUAAUACUUAAAAAAUAACUUAGAGUAACCCUUAAAUUUGCAUGUAUAUUACUCACAUAUGACAUUAUUAAAAAUAACAUGAGGUAACCCUACUUUUGAAUCCAAAUCACCUUAAUUAAAAAUAUAUACCAAAUAUAUGAUUCUAAAUCAUUUAUUUCUUACACUUUGGUAUAUGAUAUAAUAAUUAAGGUAACCCUACUUUCGAAUCCAAAUCACCUUAAUUGAAAUAUAUACCAAUAUAUGAUUCUAACUCAUUUAGUUUUUAUGCUAUUGAUAUAUGAUAUAAUAAUUAAGGUAUAUACAUGUGAUGUGUGUGACCAUUUAUGAAGAUAUAGAGGAAAUGAUGAGAAUAUAGAUUUAUAUGUUAAAUUUGCAACUAAAUUUCCCACCACUAAUAGUGAAAAAAUAACUUAAAAAUAAAUUAAAGUGACCCCUUAAAUUUGCAUCUAUAUUACCCACAUAUGUCAUUAUUAAAAAAUAACAUGAGGUAACCCUACUUUUGAAUCCAAAUCACCUUAAUUACAAAUAUAUACUAAUAUAUGAUUCUAAAUUAUUUAUUUUUUACACUAUUGAUAUAUGAUAUAAUAAUUAAGGUAUAUACGCAUGAUGUGUGUCACCAUUUAUAUAAAUAUAGAGGAAGUGAUGACAACUUAUGGUCGGUAUGUGUCAUCGGUACGCGGUUGAGUUAACAUUAUGGCUUAAACUUAUGAUCCAUAGAUAAAUUCAAGCACAUACCGACGAUGCAAAUUGAAAAGUUAAUAAUUAUAAAUGUGGAUGAAAUAUUAUAGAGUAAUUACUAACUAAAAUCUAUCACAAUUAGAUGAAGAUAAUAAGUAUAUAUCUAUAUAAGCAUUGUGUUAGGAUAUUUAACAAAUGAGAGGUAGCUUAAGGUAAUAGUUUCGUAACAAUGGGGCUACAUUUUUUCCAUUGGAGAUUCCGCAUUAGUUCUCACGAGACACGCUAGGAAAAAAUCCUAGAAAUUCUCACUAAAAUCAAAAACAUCAAACAUCAAUCGUGUAAACUCUAAUAAUCAUAGUCAUUGGUCUAUAAUAUUUUAUAAAAGGUUACCUACCAAACAUAUUCUAAAAUAAACUCUAAUCCUAUAUCUAAAUUAUCGAGCUCUGUAAUUAUUAAAAACUAAUCUUAAGUAACCCCAUAAUCUUCAUCCAAUUUACUUAUGCAUAUCAUGAUAAAGUAUAACUUAAAAUGUUACUCUAAAUUUGUAUCUAAGUUACCCACGUAUGUUCUUAUUAAAAUAACCUAAAGUAAAUACCUAAAUCUUAAUCUAAUUAUCUUCAUGUGCAUCAUUCAAAAAAGUCCAAAAGUAAACAUGAUGAGUGUCAUUGUUAAUAUAGAAAUAUUAAGUUAAGGUAUAUACGCACGAUGAGUGUCACCAUGUAGACAAUCUUUACAUGUAUGUGGAGAUGCGAUACAAAAUGAACAAAAAAGUGUGAAUGUAGAUAAAAAGUGUAUAGAGUAAUUAAUAAUUAAAAAUAAUGAUAAGACAAAGAUAAGUAUACAUGUAUAUAAGAGUUAUGUUGAAAUAUUGAAAAAACUAAGAGAGUAGUAGGUAAACAAUUUCGAUUAUUAAUUAGGAGCUCAAUUUUUAAAUAAUUUUCAAAUAUGAUAAUUUUUUUAAAAUAUUAUCCCGUGCAGGAGCACGGGUUGAUGGACUAGGACAACUAAGGCUGAUCACUAGAUAUUUCUCCAAUUGAAACGGUGUUCAACAUCUGCAAAACCCUGCAAAGCACGGCAUUGUACAGACUAUUUUUAUCCAGAUUGGAUACAAAUUGACUUGACCAGCUCGCUACCCUAUCAAAGAUAACCUAUGAACGAAUCAUGCACACACACAUACAUUCUGGAAGCGCCAUCAUCACAAAGGUCCAAAUCGGAUCUGGAAUCGAAAAUCCAGCACCGUAGACCAUUCCUCGAGCUGAAUUUUAUCAUCAUCGAAACCACACGAGACGUCGCACAUCAGCCUGGAAUAUCUCUGUCCGGUUCUGAUGAAAAGUACUUUGGGAUUCGAGGCUGGACACGCCGCUACAAUCUUUGUCCAGCUCAGACGGCGACGCCGGCGCUGGGAGAGAAGAUGGAAACUGAAAAGUGGCAGUAACUGGCGAGUUUGACGGACUCAGGGUCUUCGCCCAACGGCGGUCAAGCUGAGAUAAGGUGUCUCAAUACGAGUGUGUGGAUGAUAACGGUGACGUAAAACUGCUUUUUAAACCCCUGGGGCCUCAGCCAGUUGAGCAUCCAGCUCAUAAUUCCAGUUCAAACACCCACUAGCAAGCAAAUAGAAGCAGAUUAGAAAGGCUGACGCACAGCAGAGGUACCAUACUCUCUCCCUCCCUUCCCUCCCUCCUGAUGGUUUUAACUAUCCUCUUUAUGCUGUUACCUUUUUAAGAUGGUUUUAGCUAGUUACUUGCUGCAACUCUGUAUGGUUUCUCAAAACUAGUACCCCUCCGUAGGUCAUUUUAAGUUUUUUUAUUUUUAUAGAUAUUAUCUAUGAAUUAUCUAUGAACAUAAAAAAUCAAAACCAUCUAUAAUUUGAAACGAAGGGAGUACUUCUUAGAAUUAGCUCUGGUUACAGCAUGAGCUUACGCUGCGUAAUUCAUCUAGUAGUACUUUAUACGCUGCCAAGUUUAUGCUUUAAUUUUGCAGGUGACAAUUAAUAUGCUCCUCAUGCGUCACUCGAUGUUGCUGGCGAAACUCGCCGUGCUUAUCGUAUUGCCUUUUUUGCUGCUGUGUUAUGGAGUUGGCAACGUUUACUGCUCGACAAUUCAUGAGAAUAGAGAAGAUCUGCGCUCAUUGCUCGACUUUAAGAAGCGGAUCAGUUCUGAUCCAAAUGGAGCCUUGAUGAGCAAUUGGACAACCAACACCCAUUUCUGCCAGUGGAAUGGUGUUAACUGCACUUCCACACCACCAUAUCGCGUCAGAGAGCUCAUCCUCACCGGGCUAAACUUGGGUGGCGAAAUAUCCUCCUCUCUUGGAAAUCUGACCUCCCUUAAUUAUCUUGAUCUAUCCAAUAAUAGCUUUCAUGGUCCCAUACCUCUUCUUAACAAACUCCAAAACCUAGAGUACCUUUUAUUAGGAAGCAACCUUUUGCAAGGUGUUAUUCCCGACGCACUUACAAAUUGUUCUAAUUUAGUUACACUAGAUCUCUCUGGAAACAACCUCAACGGUCUCAUUCCUCCUAGAAUAAGCUUUCUUACCAAACUAGCAUAUAUCAAACUUUACAGUAAUCAUGUCACUGGGGAGAUACCAGCAUCCCUCAGAAACAUCACAAAUUUACAACUAGUCCAUUUUUCAAAAAAUCAGCUCAAUGGUAGAAUUCCCGACGAGGUUAUGCAAAUGCCAAACUUAAUGGAGUUGCACCUAAACCAAAAUAACCUAUCAGGUAGUAUUCCUGAGGUUUGGCAAAUGCCAAAUAUAUUGGUAUUAGACCUAAGCGUAAAUAACCUUUCAGGUCGAAUCCCACGAGCUCUAUCUAAUGUAUCUUCUCUUCAGGGAUUGUCCUUGGCAUCAAAUAUGCUAGGCAGUACAUUACCAUCUAACAUUGGAGAUGCUCUACCGAAUCUCACGAUUCUAUACUUGGGUGAGAACUAUUUCGAGGGUCACAUUCCAGCUUCCCUAGGAAAUCCUCCAGGUCUAGGAGUCAUAGAUCUCUCAUCGAAUUAUUUUACCGGCCAAAUCCCAAAUUCUUUGGGAAACCUUUCACAGCUGUCUUCUCUUAACCUUGAUCAAAACAUGCUUCAAUCAACAGACAAUGAAGGUUGGGAAUUCAUCCAUGCCCUGGGAAAGUGUAGAUCUCUAAAAAAACUUUCAUUGUCUAUUAAUAGGCUACAGGGAGCCAUACCAAAUUCUAUUGUAAACCUGUCCAGCACUCUUACAUAUCUGCUAAUGUCUGAAAACAAUCUAUCAGGAACAGUUCCCCCACGUAUUGGAAGAUUUAGUUCCUUAGUUCAACUAUCACUAGAUCAAAACUAUCUUACCGGUACAAUUGAAGAAUGGGUCGGAAAUAUGACAAAACUAGAACGUUUGAAUCUCCGAUCAAACAGCUUCGUCGGGAUAAUUCCAC
rnacentral:lncRNA from 1 species